rnacentral:lncRNA from 1 species
GUCCCCACAUGUACAUACUUACAAAGUCAAAAGAACUAAAGCAAGCAUGUGCUACCAUACCCCUACUUCAGCAAUCUAUAUGCUAACUGAUGAAUUACCAUGCUAAUUUUGCUUAGUUAUUUGAUGUCCAUGUCUAAUUGACUAAAAAUGAUUUGAUGAAAAGUCAAAAUGUAUAUAUUAGUGAUAUCUUUGAAUUACUUGAACUAUUUACAUAUGUUUCAGAUAUUAUAGUAUGUUUUCUUCCCACUACCUCAAGCAUAUGAAAACUCACUUGGAAAAAAAGAAUGUUAACAGUUCCAAGAGGAGAAGACCUACAUAAGUAUUCGAUAGAUAACACAUUGUGAUGUGAUAUAUCAGUCAGUGUCCUGGUACUUGUCAAAGUAUAUCUUGAAGGUUGUGGCGUGCAUGAGCAUACUGUUGUGCAGGUUUGUUGUCAGCAGAACAACUUGAGGAAAACUAAUUAUAGAUGUUCCUAUGUCAUCUGAUUCCUCCAAAAAAAAUGUUGGGCAGCAGGCAAUAAUAUAGCAUGAUAGUAGAUGAUGCUAAAAAGACAUGCCACUAUGUAUGUAUCCAGUAAUAUAGAGGCAUUGCCCAUCGACAAAAUUAAACUCUUUCUCAACAUUAUUUUAGUGAAUAAAGCAUGCUUUGCUAUCUUCAUGGAUGGAUGGAGAACAACUCAAUGCACUGGGUAUUUUAGUGACAGAAGUAACUUUAGCAGGAUGUACAUAAGGCUCGUUAUUAGUAGAGGAUUCUUCACCCAGGGAAAGUUGGUUAAGCUUUGUAUUCCAUAUCCACUGUUCCUUGGUGUGAAAGAAGCUCAAAACAGAAAACAAAAUAUGUCAGUCACUCAAUUUAAAUGUCUUAUUUUAUCGCAUGCUUGUACUGAAGGCUUAUUUUAUCGCAUGUUUAUACUAAAAUCUGAAUAGAGCACAAAUUCAACAUGUGGUAGUAUGUAUUUAAAAGUAUCAAGAAAGUAGCUUUGUUGACCUACAUAUGUUGAAGUGAUGUUCUUUUGAAAGUACGCUAACCCACUAUUUUGUCAGCUCAGGUGAUCUAUUGCAGUAACCAAGUAAGAUGGGAGACCUUUUUAACGGGGAACACUAAGUUGUAAAUGCAAAUAAAAGUUUUAGGCCUUAAUAUGCACAUCAUUUCUUAAAAGCAUCAUAUCCACACAAAUUGAUCCGCAACAAUCAAGUAAAGUAGUUCCUAUCAAGAAACAUAUAUUAAAGAACUAUAUCAUCGGUCAGUAUCCAAUUCUGCACCUCUUCUUUUCCAUAUGUAAUUUUGUAUUGACAACUAAACAACAAUAUAAAAAGCAAUUAAUCUGAAAAACAUGCCCGUCGGAUACCGUUAUUGUUGACCCAUCAGCAUAUAAAGAAUGAUGUGCUUUAUAAAGGUCUUAUAUUGCAGGUGAGCCUCUGGCUAUCAUGAUGGAACUCUACGAUAGAAGGUUUUGAGAUUAACCGAAUUAGUAAGCUAUAUUUUUGAAAAGGUAAAAUAGUUUGAAGAUAACAAGUAUAGAAAAAGAAUCAAUAGUUGUAUAAUACUAACCACUGUUGUAAACUAAUAUUCAAAUCUUAUUAUGAUGGUUAAAUUGACAAAUUCGUAAAUUGGAUGACUAAUUUAGCAGUUAAACUUCAUUGCUGAUAUGAGUGGCAGACUCGCACGCUAGUUCAUGUUGUAAUGCAAAAAUGGCACAACCUUGUUUCAGGAAAAGGUGCAAGCAAAUACAAGUGUUCAUCAUGAUUAUGAGUUUUGAAGUAUUAAUACACGCAUUGUCGGGGAUAUGACCCCGCGAUCUAACCUGUCGCUUGGGCCAAGUUAAGCCAUAGGCGGUCUAAGGAGCAUAUGUUCGAUGGGCCGUGGAGAAGACAGGAGGCCGGGGCAGAGGACUUACCAAGUAAGUCGCAAGGCGUCCCGACACCAGAAGACGGUGACUCAAGGCCCACUAGGCAGAAGACGCUAGGAGGUUUCUUAUCUUGGGAGGCAAGAUGAAGUAAGAAUUGUAAUAAGCCAUGAUACGUCUCAAACGUAUCUGUAUUUUUUGAUGGUUUCACGCUGUUAUCUUGUCUUCUUUGGUUGUUUUAUGUACCUUGUAUAUCUUUUUUGGGACUAACUUAUUAAUUCAGUGCCAAGUGCCAGUUCCUGUUUUUCCGUGUUUUUGAUUCUUUUCAGAUCUGAUUUUGGAACGGAGUCCAAAAAGAAGAAAAACCCGAAAAUGAUUUUUUUUCCCGAACGGAAGAAGCCCAGGGAGCUUUUGGGCCAAGCCAGGUGGGCUCCACGGAGCCCACAAGCCCCCACUCCGCCACCAGGGGAGGCGGCGGUGGGCAGGCUUGUGGCCUCCCUGGCCGCCCCCUGACCUAGGUCUUUGGCCUAUAAAUUCCCAAAUAUUCCGCAAAAAAUCAGGGGAGCCUCGAAAAUACUUUUCCGCUGCCGCAAGAUUCCGUUUCCGCGAGAUCUCAUCUGGAGACCCUUCCCGGCACCCUGCCGGAGGGGACUUUGGAGUUGGAGGGCUUCUUCAUGAUCAUCAUCUCCCCUCCAAUGACUCGUGAGUAGUUCACUUCAGACCUGCGGGUCCGUAGUUAGUAGCUAGAUGGCUUCUUCUCUCUCUUGGAUCUUCAAUACAAAGUUCUCCACGAUCUUCAUGGAGAUCUAUCCGAUGUAAUCUUCUUUGGUGGUGUGUUUGUCGAGAUCCGAUGAAUUGUGGAUUUGUGAUCAGAUUAUCUGUGACAUAUAUUUGAGUCUUUGCUAAUUUAUUAUAUGCAUGAUUUGAUAUCCUUGUAAGUCUCUUCGAGACUUGGCUUUCGUUUGGCCAACUAGAUCUAUGAUUCUUGCAAUGGGAGAAGUGCUUGGUUUUGGGUUCUACCAUGUGGUGACCUUUCCCAGUGACAGUAGGGGCAGCAAGGCACACAUCAAGUAGUUGCCAUCAAGGGUAAAAAGAUGGGGUUUUAUCAUUGGUUUGAGAUUAUCCCUCUACAUCAUGUCAUCUUGCUUAAGGCGUUACUCUGUUCUUAUGGAUUUAAUACACUAGAUGCAUGUUGGACAGCGGUCGACGUGUGGAGUAAUACUAGUAGAUGCAGAAAGUAUCGGUCUACUUGUUUCGGACGUGAUGCCUAUAGAAACAAUCAUUGCAUAGAUAUCGUCACGACUUUGCGCGGUUCUAUCAAUUGCUCGACAGUAAUUUGUUCACCCACCGUCUACUUGCUUUCAUGAGAGAAGUCACUAGUAAACACUACGGCCCCCGGGUCUAUUCACAUCCAUCGUUUACACCUCCGCUUUUGCUUUGCUUUGUUACUUUGUUGCUUUCAGUUCUCAGUUGGCAAACAAUCUAUAAGGGAUUGACAACCCCUUCAUAGCGUUGGGAGCAAGUUUUUGUGUUUAUGCAGGAUCUUGAGAUACUCCUCCACUGGAUUGAUACAUUGGUUCUCAAACUGAGGGAAGUACUUACCACCGCUACGCUACGUCACCCUUUCCGCUUCGAGGGAACACCAACGCAAGGCUCCAAGGCCACGGGGGAAAUCCUUUGAAUACUUGCCUAGGAAGUCCCUUAAGGCGUAGUCGCAGCUGAAGGAUUCCUGGUGCCGUUGCUGAGGAGUAUCAAGCAACACUCCUAUUUCUGGCGCCGUUGGAAGGUCUUUUGUUGCAGUAGCAGAAGUAUUUAUGGCGCCGUUGCCGGGGAGGAGCACGUCAAGAUAACUUGCCGACAACGUGCCUAUUUCUGGCGCCGUUGCCGGGGAGGAGAAAUCAAGAUCUACCCAAGUAGGUCUCACAAACUCUUCUCUUGAAUUUACUUUUGUUGCCAGUUGCCUCUCGUUGUCCUCUCCCCCACUUCACAUUUGUCGUUUUCAUUUGCCUUUUUCCUUUGCCGUUUUCUUUUGUCUUUUUGAUGUUCUCUUUUGCCCGUUUCACUCUCUCUUCCUGCUCGUUUGUGUGUGAGAUAGUCCAUCAAUGGCUAGACCCACCACUCCAAACGACGCCCCUGAAAAUGAAGUUCUCAAUUUCAGGCAGAAUGAGGAAGAAAAUUUGAAGGACGCUUGGUACAGGAUUUGCAAUGCUCAAAGUAGAUCUACUCGUAAGCAAUCCACCACCGUCCUCCUUCGCAGUUUCUAUGUUGGAAUUUCUCCUUGGAAUAGGUAUAUCCUUGAUACCAUUGUAGGCGGGAACUUUUUGGUUGAGCCAUACUGUUGACUCCUAUAGAGCUAUCAUUAACUUGGUAGGCUCACCCCCGCUCAUGGUUAAUGGAACUAUCUUGACCUUGGAACACGUGAUGCAAAGGCUUGACGCUAUUGAAAACAAAAUUGCCACAGUCGAACUUAUUGAGGGUUUGGAUAAAAAGAUCCACAAUCAAAUUACUCAGUACGGAUCCAAACUGGGAAACUUUUUGAAAAAUUUAAAGGAGAAGGAACUUAUAGUUAAUAAUUCUUCUAGAAUUGGGAAAUUAGAAGAUGUCAUAAUCAACUUGGGUUCCGCUUUUGCCGCUGUGCAAAAUACUCCAAAUCUCACUCUCAAAAAGAUAGUCAAGCCUGUUUUUGUUCCUAAAGCUAGUGGUGAGUCAUCUAAUAAAGACGAAAACCUUAAGAUGAUAAAUGAUCACACUACCUAUGGUUUGAGCACCAAAGAUGACUAUACGUGAUUCCAUCACUUUCGCCUAGCUAAGGGCGUUAAACAAAAGCGCUUGUUGGGAGGCAACCCAACGAAUCUAUCCUUUUUCUUUCUGUUUUGUGUUUUCCACACUUUCAUAAUUCUGUUAUGAUUGUGUUUUUUUGUUUCUUUUUGCGUUUGUGCCAUGCAAAACCGUUAUGAUUAGUCUUGGGGAUGAUCGUUUGGUCAUGCUGGAAAAGACAUAAACUUUCUGCUCACGAACAUAAUUUUCAUUUUUUCUGUAAGAGCUUUUGAGUUGAUUCUUUUUUGCUGCUGAUUGCUACGCAAAUUCUUCAGACUGCCGUAAUUUGUCAGAAUUUUUGAAGUACCAGAGGUAUACGAAAUAUACAGAUUGCUGCAGACUGGUCUGCUGUUAACAUAUUCUGUUUUUGUUGUGUUGGUUGCUUAUUUUGAUGAAACUAUGGAUAGUAUCGGGGGGUAUUACCCAUGGAAGAUUGAAAGUACAGUAACCCUACAUCAGAACAAGUAGAAUUUAAGUUUGCUAUAGUACCUAAGGAAGUGGUGGUUUUCUUUCUUGUACUAAUGUUAUCAUGAGUUUCUGUUUAAGUUUCGUGUUGUGAAGUUUUCAAGUUUUGGGUGAAGUUCUUAUGGACAAAGAUAUAAAGAGUGCCAAGAGCUCAAGCUUGGGGAUGCCCAAGGCACCCCAAGAGAUUCAAGGAUGCUGUAAAAGCCUAAGCUUGGGGAUGCCCCGGGAAGGCAUCCCCUCUCUCGUCUUCAAUCCAUCGGUAACGUUACUUGGGGCUAUAUUUUUAUUCACCACAUGUUAUGUGUUUUCGCUUGGAGCGUCUUGUAUCAUAGGAGUGUUUUAUUUUUUUUGUGUCACAGUCAUACUAGCUGCACACCUAGAGAGAGAGACAUGCACACACCGUGAUUUUGUCGAGCUUCACUUAUAUCUUUUGGUAGACAAUUCAGCUCACAUGUGCUUCACUUAUAUCUUUUGAGCUAGAUACUUUUGCUCUUUGUGCUUCACUUAUAUCUUUUAGAGCGCAGCAGUGCGUGGCUUGGUAGUUGAUCUAUGCUUUGAAAGUAGUCUCAAAAGGGGUAGUUAUCGAAAGGGAUACGAAAACUUCCACCUUCAUGUGCAUUGAAUAGUUAGAGAAGUUUGAUUCAUCUCAAUCAGUUUUGAGUUGUGGUUAUGGUAAUAUUGAAGUCAUUUUAGUAAGGUGUUGUGAAUCUAGAAAUACUUGUGUUUAAGUUAGUGAUUCCCGUAGCAUGCACGUAUGGUGAACCGCUAUGUGAUGAAAUCUAAGCAUGAUUAGUAUAUUGAUUGUCAUCCUUUGCGUGGCGGUCGGGAUCGCGCGAUGGUUUAUACCUAUCAACCCUUCCCCUAGGAGUAUGCGUUGAAUGCUUUGUUUCGAUUACUAAUAAAAAUUUUGUAACAAGUAUAUGAGUUCUUCAUGACUAAUGUUGAGUCCAUGGUUUAGAUGCACUUUCACCUUCCACCAUCACUAUCUUCUUAGUGCCGUGCAACUUUCGCCGGUGCACAAAACCCACCAUUAGCCUCUCUCAAAACAGCCACCAUACCUACCUACUAUGGCUUUUUCAUAGUCAUUCCGAGAUAUAUUGCCAUCCAACUACCACCAUGACAUGUGCCACCACGUCUACAUUGCCAUUUCAUGAUCGUAUGAUAGCUAGCAUGAUGUUUCCAUUGAUGUCUAUGCCAUGCUAGAUCAUUGCCACGGUACACUAUCAAAGGCAUUCCAUAUAGAGUCAUCGUUACUCUAAGUUUUGAGUUGAAAGUGUGAUGAUCAUAAUUAAUGGAGCAUUGUCCCAUGUGAGGAAAUAAAAGAGGCCAAAUAAGCCCACAAAAAAAAGAGGCUGAAGAGCCCUCCAAAUAAAAAAAAUGAGAGGAAAAGAGAGAAGGGACAAUGCUACCACUUUUUCCACACUUGUGCAUAUUAAGCACCAUGAUCUUCAUGAUUGAGAGUCUCUCAUUUUCUCACCACCAUAUAGCUAGUGGGAAAUUUUCAUUAUGUAACUUGGCUUGUAUAUUCCUAUGAUAGGCUUCCUCAAAAUUGCCUUAGGUCUUCGUGAGCAAGCAAGUUGGAUGCACACCCACUAGUUUUCUUUAAGAGCUUUCACAAACUCAUAGCUCUAGUGCAUCAAUUGUAUGGCAAUCCCUACUCAUUCACAUUGAUAUCUAUUGAUGAGCAUAUCCACAGCUCAUUGAUAUGCCUAGUUAAUGUGACUAUCUUCUCAUUUUUGUCUUGCAACCUCCACUACAUUCCACACCAUCUAUAGUGCUAUAACCAUGGCUCACGCUCAUGUAUUGCGUGAGAGUUGAAAAGGUUUGAGAAAGUAAAGGUGUGAAACAAUUACUUGGCCAAUACAGGGGUUGUGCCUGAUUUAAAUUCGUUGUGCAAUGAUGAUAGAGCAUAGCCAGACUAUAUUCUUUUGUAGGGAUAACUUUCUUUUGGCCUUGUUAUUUUGAAAGUUCAUGAUUACUUUGCUAGUUUGCUUGAAUUAUUAUUGUUUCUGCGUCAAUAGCAAACUAUUGUUUUGAAUCAAAUGGAUCUGAACAUUCACAUCACAUAUGAGGAAUUACAAAGGACACCUAUGCUAGGUAGCAUGAAAGCAUCAAAAAUCCAUUCUUAUCACUUCCCUACUCGAGGACGAGUAGGAGUUAAGCUUGGGGAUGCUUGAUACGUCUCAAACGUAUCUAUAAUUUUUGAUGGUUUCACGCUGUUAUCUUGUCUUCUUUGGUUGUUUUAUGUACCUUUUAUAUCUUUUUUGGGACUAAAUUAUUAAUUCAGUGCCAAGUGCCAUUUCCUGUUUUUUCCGUGUUUUUGACUCUUUUGAGAUCUGAUUUUGGAACAGAGUCCAAACGGAAGAAAAACCCCGAAAUGAUUUUUCCCCGAACAGAAGAAGACCAGGGGGCUUUUGGGCCAAGCCAGGUGGGCUCCAGGGAGCCCACAAGCCCCCACUACGCCACCAGGGGAGGCGGCGGUGGGCAGGCUUGUGGCCUCCCUGGCCGCCACCUGACCUAGGUCUUUGGCCUAUAAAUUCCCAAAUAUUGCACAAAAAAUCAGGGGAGCCUCGAAAAUACUUUUCCGCCGCCGCAAGCUUCCGUUUCCGCGAGAUCUCAUUUAGAGACCCUUCCCGGCACCCUGCCGGAGGGGACUUUAGAGUUGGAGGGCUUCUUCAUCAUCAUCAUCGCCCCUCCAAUGACUCGUGAGUAGUUCACUUCAGACCUACAGGUCCAUAGUUAGUAGCUAGACGGCUUCAAUACAAAGUUCUCCAUGAUCUUCAUGGAGAUCUAUCAGAUGUAAUCUUCUUUGGCGGUGUAUUUGUCGAGAUCCGAUGAAUUGUGGAUUUGUGAUCAGAUUAUCUAUGAUAUAUAUUUGAGUCUUUGCUGAUUUCUUAUAUGCAUGAUUUGAUAUCCUUGUAAGUCUCUCUGAGUCUUGGGUUUUGUUUGGCCAACUAGAUCUAUGAUUCUUGCAAUGGGAGAAGUGCUUGGUUUUGGGUUCUACCAUGUGGUGACCUUUCCCAGUGAUAGUAGGGGCAGCAAGGCAGACAUCAAGUAGUUGCCAUCAAGGGUAAAAAGAUGGGGUAUUUAUCAUUGGUUUGAGAUUAUCCCUCUACAUCAUGUCAUCUUUCUUAAGGCGUUACUCUUUUCUUAUGGACUUAAUACACUAGAUCCAUGCUGGAUAGCGGUCAACGUGUGGAGUAAUAGUAGUAGAUGCAGAAAGUAUCGGUCUACUUGUUUCAGACGUGAUGCCUAUAGAAACAAUCAUUGCAUAGAUAUUGUCACGACUUUGCGCAGUUCUAUCAAUUGCUCGACAGUAAUUUGUUCACCCACCGCCUACUUGCUUUCAUGAGAGAAGCCACUAGUAAACACUACGUCCCCCGGGUCUAUUCACAUCCAUCGUUUACACCUCCGGUUUUACUUUGCUUUGUUACUUUGUUGCUUUCAGUUCUCACUUGGCAAACAAUCUAUAAGGGAUUGACAACCCCUUCAUAGCGUUGGGAGCAAGUUUUUGUGUUUGUGCAGGAUCUUGAGAUACUCCUCCACUGGAUUGAUUCCUUGGUUCUCAAACUGAGGGAAGUACUUACCACCGCUACGCUACAUCACCCUUUCCGCUUCGAGGGAACACCAACGCAAGGCUCCAAGGCCAUGGGGGAAAUCCUUUUCAUACUUGCCUAGGAAGUCCCUUAAGGCGUAGCCGCAGCUGAAGGAUUCCUGGUGCCGUUGCUGAGGAGUAUCAAGAAACACUCCUAUUUCUGGCACCGUUGGAAGGUCUUUUGUUGCAGUAGCAGGCCAUAGACGUUUCUUCGACCCGGACUCUAUUGUAAAGUCGAGGCCUCUACCUAUAUAUAAAGGAGAUACCUCGAGCUAGAAAGAUCAAGCAAGAAACUCUCGAGAGCUUGGUUAGCUAUUCUGCAUCCUUGUAAUCGAGAUGUCUGUCAAUAUAGACACAAAAGUAGGACAUAGACUUUUACCUCCAUCUGAGGGGCCGAACCUGGGUAAACCCGUCUCCUGUUUCCUGAUCAACCUCUUCGAGUCGCCACACAACGGUGAUGGCCUCACCACUAAGGCCUUUUACGAGGAUAGCUGCCGUGACAAAACUACGACAGUUGACGCCCACCGAGGGGCAAUCGCAAGGUGGAGUUGAGUUCUCGAAGGGAGAUCUUCCAGGGUUCGGGAGCUAUGUGGUGGGUCAGAUGACCAAGAGUCAUCGCGGCAAGAUCUACAUCGACGAUUCAAGACGGGGUCCCCUCGCCGACUCGGUCGAGUACAGGUAUCGCAUCCCUUUCGGCAAGAUCCACAGCUUCAUCGGCAAGGUCAAUGAAGCAACGCCCGAGAUGGACAUAUGUAUCAACAUUGUUGAGACGGCUCACCACGUUUGACCCAACCGGUGUGGGUGUGGCCGAAGCCAAACCUUCGUGGAGAACAUCGGGUCAUCCCGUCCUCUCAAAGGUGGGAACGUUGAAGGCCAAGGCAACAACAAGCGAAAGUGGCCCGGGGGCAGGUCAGAGACUGCGGUCAGUAUCAAUGCGAGUUUCAAAAACCAGCGCCUGAGCGACCGUCCUAAGAAGGUUUACCACGCGAAAAAGUCAUGCAACUAAGAGGCUGCGCUCAAGGCGUCUUUCCCCGGGCAUGGUACUCAGCAGAAGUCGGCUAAUCAUUCAUGGGAAGACUGUUAUAUCAUGCGGGAUUUCCAUAACUGGGUUCUCGAAAAACGCCAAGAGGAACAUCCAGGUCAAAAUACCCCUGGUGGGUCAACUGCGGGUCUCAAACCACCAAGUAGUGGUCAGUACCAUGUGUUCACCAUCAAUGCUUGCAAAUGAGACACAAAGGUCAGAAAGAGGGCUAUCGGCAUGGAUGAGCCGGUGGUUCCUAAGUACAUUCGUUGGUCUGAGCAGCCAAUCAUGUGGAGCCUUGAGGAUCAUCCCCCCUGGGUCGACAACCCUGGAGACCUGGCCCUAGUGGUGGUGCCUCAAGCGAAUGGCUAUACCCUUACAAAGGUCCUCAUGGAUGGAGGAAGCAACGUCAACAUAUUAUAUUAUGACACCUUUCGCCAGAUAAACCUCCUCGACGGCUCCUUGGAAACUUCAAUCAUCGUUUUUCACGGCAUCGUUCCCAGGAAGUCGUCGUACCCGGUCGGGCGGAUUAAGGUUUACGCGGCCUUUGGUGAUGAGUGUAACUACAGGGUCGAGCCUUUGACUUUUGAAGUUGUAAAGAUACAUAGCCCUUAUCAUGCCCUCUUCGGGAGGCUGGCUUAUGCCCAUUUCAUGGCUGGCCCCUGUUAUGUUUACCCCAAGCACAAGAUGCCAGGUCCCAAUGGAACUAUAACGGUGGGAGGCGACAGGAAGACGGCUUAGGAAUGUGAGGAAGGGGACGCAACCUAUGCUGAGUCAGCCUGUGGAGCUCAGGAGCUAAAAAUUUACAUAGCUAAUGUCGACCCGGCUGACAUGAGUUCUCUCAAGAAGCCGAACACUGAGUCCGAAGAACCCCUCAAGUUCAACCGGCCAAAGAUACCAAACAGAAUGACUUCAUCCCAAGCGACUCAUUCAAGCAGUUCACUAUUGGGACCAAUCUGGAUACUAAAUAGGAAAGCACGCUCAUCGAGUUCAUCUGUGAGAAUCAUGACAUCCGUGCAUGGAAGCCUUCUGACAUUCUUGGAGUAUCGUGGGAACUCCUUGAGCACCAUAUUAACAUGGAUCCUAAGAUGAAACUAGUACGGCAGUACCUCCGUCGCUUUAACGAGGAGAGAUGCAAGGCUAUUGGAGAAGAGGUAGCUUGACUUCUAGCUGAUGGGUUUAUUCUUGAAGUCUUUCACCCUAAAUGGAUGGCUAACCCGGUGUUUUUUCGAAAAAUAAGGACACUUGGCGCAUGUGUGUUUAUUACACAGAUCUCAACAAAGCAUGUCCCAAAGAUCCUUUUUCCCUCCUGCGUAUCGACCAGAUCAUUGACUCUACGGUGGGUUGCGAGCGAUUAUGCUUUUUGGACACAUACUCACGUUAUCACGAGAUCAAAAUGGCUAAGGAGGAUCAGGAGAAGACAACUUUCAUAACCCCUUUUGGUGCCUUCUGCUAUGUUUCUAUGUCUUUCAGGCUCAAGAGUGUAGGGGCGACUUAUCAGCGAUGUGUGCAGUUCACUCAUAGAUCGCACGCAACACUCAUGCUUAUGUUGAUGACAUCGUGGUGCAAUCUUGGAAGAAGGAGACAUUAUUGGACGAUCUCAAGGAAAUGUUUGAUAACCUUUGAGUAUACCAGAUGGAACUUAACCCGACGAAGUGUGUCUUUGGGGUCCCUAUGGGUAAGCUAUUGGGUUUCCUGGUCCCUGAACGAGGUAUUGAAGCCAAUCCCAACAAGAUCAAGGCGGUCACCUCAAUGGGUAAGCCGACUAAUAUAAACUAGGUCCAACGCUUGGCUGGCCGCAUCGCAGCAUUGAGUAGGUUUAUAAGCCGCCUGGGGAGAAGGCAAUCCCUCUCUAUCAGCAGCUGAGAAAGACAGACAAUUUUGUUUGGAGUGAUGCGGCCGACGAAGCCUUUGAAACUCUCAAGAAGUAGUUGGCUAAGCCACCGGGUUUAGCUGCCCCGAUUGACAAAGAACAUAUGCUCUUGUAUAUAGGUGUCAAUUCAAAGGUGGUAAGUGUUGCAGUCGUUGUUGAACAAAAGGACGGAGGAAAGGAAUAUCCAGUUCAAAGGUGAGUUUAUUUCAUCAGUGAAGUCUUGACCCUAUCCAAGCAACGAUAUCCACAAUGGCAGAAACUGGUCUUUGCGGUCUUUACGGCUCAUGCUUUCGUGUACUAAUAAUGCAGCUGAGUAUGAGGCAUUGUUGCAUGGGUUAAGGAUGGCCAAGGAAAUGAAUCUCAUCCGGGUUAGGGCAUUGGGCGACUCAGAUUUAGUGGCGCAGCAGGUUUUAGGGACCUUGGAUUCUAAAGAUCCUUUGUUGGCAGCUUAUGGACGAGCAAUUACUGAGGUCGCAAAUUACUUCCAUGGCUAUCAAGUCGACCACAUAGAUCACCGUCUCAAUGAGGCGGCAGAUGCUUUAUCGCGACUUGGUUCUCAACAGAAGCCGGUCCCUCCCAAAGUAUUUUUGAAUGUCCUUUACAACCCCUCGGUGAAGUUACCGUCUGAAGAGGAUAUAGCUAUUCCAGACGUGGAAUUAUAGCUAGUGGCAACUCUUCGAGCUACCCUAGGUUUGACGGUACCAUAGUUAGCGUAUCUCGCUUGAGGAGAACUCCUAUCUAAGGAAGUCGAGGCCCGCCAGAUAGUUCGUCGAUCUAAAUCGAUGACCAUUAUCAAGGGUGAGUUACAUCUGCGGAGCAACACUGGCAUUUUUUCAAUGUUGUGUAUCUCCCGAGGAAGGACAAGAAAUUCUUAAUGAAAUGCAGGCAAGAAACUAUGGGCAUCACGCCAGCUCAAGAUCUUUGGUGUCAAAGGCCUUUCCUCAUGGGUUUUAUUGGCUAACAGCUCAUGCUGAUGCAGAAGACCUCGUAUGCAAGUGCAAUGGAUGUCAAAAGUUUGCUUGGCAGGCCCAUGUGCUGGCUCAAGAUUUGCACAUGAUCCCAAUCACAUGGCCGUUUGCAGUCUGGGGACUUGAUAUGGUUGGUCCGUUCAAAAUGUCUCUGGUAAAAAAGACCCACCUACUGGUAGCAGUUGAUAAGUUCACCAAAUGGGUUGAGGCGGAACCUGUCAGCAACAGUGAUGCGGAAACAAUGGUAAAAUUCUUGAAGAAGUUAAUCUACCAUUUUGGCUAUCCUCAUAGCAUUAUCACGGACAAUGGUACCAACCUAUCGAAAGGGCUUUGGAACAAUUCCGUCAGAAAGAGCACAUCUGGCUUGACUUGGCAGCGGUAGCGCAUCCGCAAUCCAACGGCCAGGCUGAAAGAGAGAAUCAGGAGAUUUUCAUAGGGGUCAAACCCCGUCUCAUGGCCCCAUUACAGCGUACCCUAGUUAUUGGGUUGAGGAACUCUCCUUAGUAUUCUGAAAUAUCAAUACUACUCCAAAUAGGUUCGCUGGACACACGCCUUUCUUUCUGGUCUAUGGUGCUGAGGUGGUACUCCCAAGUGAUAUUCGCCACGACUCUCCUAGAGUCGCCGGUUAUGUUGAGGGUGAGAAUGAACAAGCACGAGAAGAUCCUUUGUAUUCUUUGGAGGAAGAACGAGACUUAGUAGCAGCUACGUCACCAUAUAUCAACAGGACCUACGCUGUUAUCAUACCUGUAGAGUUAAAAGCCGCACUUUCCAAGAAGGCGAGUUGGUGCUCCGCCUGAUUCAAGAUCAAACGGAGAUUCAUAAACUUUCACCGCACUGGGAAGGCCCAUUUAUCAUCAGGAAAAACCUCAACAAUGGUUCACACUACCUGAUCGAUCUAUGACCCGGUAAGAACAUCUCCGAAGCAGAGACAACCCGGCCCUAGAACAUUGCUCACCCAUGGCCUUAUUAUACUUAGAGCCACUGACUUAUUAUUUCUUGUACCUUCCCCAAUUUGUGUACAUACUUCUAUAGUUUUGAACAUAAUAAAGUUGACAUCCUCAAACUUCGGGGCCUCUAUUGGCUUUAGCCUACAAAUUGAGCAUGAGUCUUUAUUAUUUCAAUACAUGUUACUUGGGGGCUACUAGUCAAAACAAAUCAUCGUGAUCAAUGGAAUCAAGCUGGCUUAUGUGGACUCCAGAUUGUUUAGUAGUAAUAUCAUUGUCUUCUGCAAUCCUAUGCUGCGCUUUUCUAUUGAUCACAUGUUAUUUGGGGGCUUCCAACUCAUCGAGAUUAGCUUUCUCACCGGCUUAAUCCGGCAAAGACGCCACAAAAUGGUUAUACCUCCAUGUAUGUUUGAUGCGACUCCGAGCAGGUGACUCCAUGUACUCUUGACUAUUCAAUCAAUUGUGGACCCUGAAUUAGCAAGGUUAAUACAUUGGUUUGUCAUGUGAGAGUCGGCAUACUGAAGCUAGGAUAAACCAUAGGUUAUCAUGCCCGCUUCAUUAAAGCAAGACUUGAGCCUCGAAAGUCGGUCUCUUUUUACCGUGUCUCACUAAGCCGGAUUAUUAUUGCUUUAUAUUAUCAUGACUUGAUCGUGUCAGGUACAAACGCUAUUUUUCUGGCUCAUAAAGAGUGCUCGGGUUAUAAAGUCAUAAUCCUAUCAUGAACAAUUCAAAAAAUUAUGGCUGAGCGGACGAAAAUUGUGAAUUCUAGGGCCAAGUUGCAAUAACUAGCCUCGUGUUGAUUCAAGCAGACAGAUUUUGAGCACGGAUCAGCCAAGACGGAACAGAUUAAAAGACUAAAGAUCUAUCUGGUUCGUAUACAUAAGGAUUAAAAGCCGGGUUACCAGAGAUUUGGGCAGAUUUAGGCCACUUGCCAACAUGACAGGAACCAAGAGUUUUUACAAACAUGCCAAAGGUACGACACACACGAUACAACUAUUGGCUCGGGAAAUAUGUUACAAGGCACUCAAGGCCCAAACGGUGGAAUCAAAGUUUUUCUCGUAACUAGGUUUUCACAUUUUUCCGGCUUAAGCUUUGUAUUGGUCUUGCCCUGAGAUGCCUCCGGUUGGUCCUCCGUUUGAGCCGUCGGAUCUAUGAUUUGAAGAUCAUCCAAAUUCUAGUUGCAAUGGGACAAGGCUUCAAAAAUGGCUUCCUUGUUCAAUAUAGGCGCGGGUUGACGUUAGGGGCAAAGAGCUGCUUGCGACUCCGCGGAGUUAGACUAACCAAUUUAAAUAGGGGCGGCUGAACUCGGCCGUUGUUUGAGUCAUAUGUUGGAUGAUAGCUCUUCAAAGACAUGCCACUUACAAGCUAAAUGGCCAACAUACGAGCCGCCGAGACGCACUAACGAUAAUCAUCAUCAUUAAGAGCUAAUACAUCCGCCUUCAACUCUCGAAACCCCCCGAUCAUUGCUGCCGGGUCAAGCUCAGCCGAGUAAGGGAGAGCCCGACUCAAAUAAUAUGUGGCUCCGGCACGGGCGGCUGGUCUCUUGAGCUCUCCAGUUUGUUUGGGUAUUGUAGAGAGAAACACCAACACAUCUUUUAUAAUCUUAACCGGCUCUUUGUUCCCCGCGAUGGCUCUGACUGUGCAUAAGCUUCCGCUAUAGAGCUGCUCUAUCAAUACAUAUACAGCUUUGAGCUUUAACAAGCAAUUGUCUUGGAUAUUGCGCGUAUGGCGGCCUGCAAAGACACAAGCACAUAAGUCACCAUGCGAUUGGUCUUAGCGAAUGAAUAUUAAGUGGGUUAAUGAAAGGCUUCCGAACAUACUCACCAAAGAUGGCUUGAGUCAUGUGGUCAAUAUGCCUUUUUAACCCGGAUAGCUCUGUAGAGGCGGUUUUGGGGGGGGGGGUCUUUAGAGUGCUUGGUCAAUGUGGCUUUCUCAAUUUUGAAGGAUCUUUUUUCUUUUUCAAAUCCUUCCUUGAUCUUCUCCAUUUCCUCCAAGGAUAAUCGAAGUUUUUCCUAAAGCUUUGCUCGGUCGGUUUGUCCUUCCUCAAGAGCCUUUGUGAAAUCAACGACUUUUGACUCAGCGGCCUUCAAAGUUUCCUACACAAAAAUUGGAGUAACAAUAAGCCAGAGACGGGACAACAUGAUCACUAUGAUAAUGAAGAUUAUAAACAAGUCCCAAGCAUAUUGCAAGCAAUAUACUUGGCACUUGGGGGCUAAUGCACGUCAGUUAUUUUUUGAACAUAUGAUAGAAAAGACCCAACUCAUCUCAAAAAGAUGAUCCGUCCCUUGGGGCUAUAGGUCAAUUUCUUUCACAAUAAUCAUCAAGAUCCGACUCAUCUCAAAAAGAUGAUUCGGCCCUUGGGGGCUACAGGUCGAUUACUUCAAUCAAAUCAUCAAGACCCGACUCAUUUCAAGAAGAUGACUCGGACCUUGGGGGCUACAGGUCGAAUUCUUCAAUCAAAUCAUCAAGACCCGACUCGUCUCAAGAAGAUGAGUCGGCCCUUGGGGCUAGAGGAGGAUAUAUGGAAUACAGAGUACAUGGCAAGGUGGAGCAUACCUCAUAUUUUAGCUUCAUCAUAUUCACAAGGCUAGUUUCCAUUUGACGGCUUGUAGAAAGACACUCAAGAUAACCAGUGUACAAUUCCUCAGUACAGAAAGUAUCAUAAUUCGGAAGCUCUAGUUUAGCUUUUCCUUUGUCAGACUGGACAACUUCCUCCUUUGUGGCAAGCUUUGCCAACAUAUCAGAGGAACAUCUUCACAGGGUACCUGAGGAAUGGGAGGAUCAGUACCAGUUGCCGGAUCGGUUUCAACAUCCAUAGGCGAAGCAGUAACUAUUUCUAUUUCAGGCUGAGUGUUUGGGAUAUUAUCAUGCCAUACAACCCGCCCUAAGAAGUCGGGUCAAGAUGGUAACAGCUCAACGUUCAUACUCAAGAUGGUCCCUCACCUACAAAGCAGGAGGCGCAAGGCGGUUUAUCAAUGAGAGCCGGCAACGGCCCAAGACACGAAGAUGGCGGGUCAUGGCCCACAAGGGAGAAGGUUGCUAGGAGUUUCCUUGCUUAAGGAGCAAGGCGAGUUAGAGACAUAACCGGUCAUGGAUUAUAAUGUGACCUGGACUCUUGUAAACCUAAGGGUCUCGACCUGUAUAUAAAGGCGAGUCUCUAGGGCUGGUAGACUUAAGUUACAAUCAAUCGAGAGCUAUGUCAGGCAAAAUAGCACCCUUGUAAUCGAUUUCAUCAUCAAUACACACAAAGCAGGACGUAGGCUUUUACCUCCAUCGGAGGGGCCGAACCUGGUAAACUCGUCUCUCGUUCCCGAUUAGCCCCUUUGACUCGCCACAUAGUUGCGAUGGCUUCACCACUAAGUCCUUUCAAGAGGACAUCUGUCGUGACAAAACCAUGAUAGUUGGUGCCCACCAUGGGGCUAGCGCACGAUGGAGUUGAGUUCUCAAAGGGAGCCCUUCUAGGGUUCGGGAGCUACACGGUUGGUCUCAUGACCAAAAGCCACCGUGGGAAGUGCUACAUCGACAAUUUGAGUUGGGGUCCCGAGGCCAGUUCGAUCGAAUCUGGUUACCGGGUCCCCUUCAGCAAGAUUCACGUCUUCAUCGGCAAGAUCGGCGCACCCGUUCCCGAGACGGACAUCAACACCGACAUCGUCGAGCCGGCUUGGUUCGCUCAACCCACCAAGCGUCAGAUCAGGCAGCGUCACGUCUUUGUUGGCUUUACGCAGGGGGUUAGCCUAGCGGAUGACACGGCGAUUGGUGGAGACACCCGUGUCAACUCAGUCGACGAGUCAUCUAUGAGGGACACAAACUCGAUCUGCCCUCUCUAUGAGGGAAGGCUUGGGGGCUUUCCUGAGGCGGCGAUCUUUGAAGGUCUGCAGGAGCCGCCUCGCCAGGUUGCCAUCUAGAUGGUUGGGGCAACGUUGGCUCAGAAUCACCCAGAUGCGGCGGCCGCCAAUGGAGCCAGCGGGUCUGGAAAAAUGCCAGCCCAGGCCAUGGCGGAUCUGAUGGUCGAGAUAUGAAAACUCAUGGCGGUCGCCGUUACUGCUGACAAUCAGGAGGAAAUCAAUGCCGAGCUGGCAAAACUAUGUGAAGAGAUGGCCAAGAUACAGUGUGAGAUCGAUGCUGAGAACACCCGGAUGGCAAAUCAGUAGGUUCAAAUUAACGAAGAGGUGGAACGCUUAAAGGCUGAGGCAUGGCGGCUCGAGCGUCGGCGAGUCUCCUCUGAUGUGGUGCAUCAGAGGAGGCAUUAGAGUCGUUUCCUGACCAAUCUUAACCCCACGCGAUUAUUUGACAGCACACACAUGCCUGGUGUGGAGCAUAACCCGCCUCGACAGACUAAUCAACUAGUGUAGCUGGCUUAGCCAUCGGCGACUCAGCAGUCGACCCAACCUCCGCUGGACAAACUGCUGGCUCAGCGUUUUCAAAGACCGCAGGGUCACUUGUCCAAUCCUCUGGACAACGUGCUGGCUACAACCCAUAAUUUGGAGUCUCUCCCCAUUCAUGGAAACACCCUAAUCGAGGUGGAAGCAAGGAACGUCAUCGAGAUGCUGAAGACGGCGAUGGUUCAACACGCGCAAUUUUCUUAUAGUCGUGAUCAGCUGCAUUACACACCCCACGCUAGUCAUACCAAGAGCCGCAAUGACGAUCCUCCAGCGGUCUCCAGCAGUAGUUGCCGACAGCAGCCUCAAGCCAACCCGCCCGGACUGCCAAUGUUGAAUGCUCAGGCGCUUGUGAAUGCGGCCCGAGCUUCCCAUUAGGUAGAGGCAGAGGCAACGGCGGCGAUGGCGGGACAGGUGGUUCCGACUUACGUCCAGCUGGUGCGUGCAUACAGUGAGCCGGGAGGAAGGAACGUAGGCAUCCCCUGCUUGUCAUUUGCUCUUCACAGCGAGCGCAUGCCCAAAGAUUUUAAAGGCCCUCGCAAGAUGCCCAAUUACACACCCGAUCUUGAGGCAGGUGCGUGGAUUGAGAGUUACAAGCCUGCUAUGGAUAUGCUCGAGGCCAAUAAUGCAGUAUGCGCCAAAUAUUUCAUGAUGAUGUUGGAAGGACCAUCUCGCACGUGGCUGAAAAAUCUACGGUCAAUCCCAUCAACACUUGGGCAGAAUUGAAGGAAAGAUUCAUUAAAAACCCCCCCCCCCCCCCCCUCGUAGAUCUGCAAAAUUGCGUUCAGCGGACGGAUGAGUCGGCCCACCAGUGGACGCGGCGGGUUUCAGAGAUUAUCCACUCCUCGGAUGGCAUCACAGUGACUCGCUGAUCUUGGAGAAUAACUGUCACUUUCAACCUGUGGUAUUUAAGCUUGGUCGUUUUAAGCGAAAGGUGUAGGAUAUGGGCGAGUUGAUGGACACCUUCACCAGAUAUGCCGAGUCAGAUGGCACGAAGGAUGCCGACUCAGAUGAUGAUAAAGCCAGUGAAGUCAAGAAAGGAGAUGGGACCAAGAGUCAUCUUCAAGCUCAGGGACGUAUUGGCAACUAGGGAGGUCAAGGAAAGAGAAGACAGCACGAUAGUGUGUCUGAUUUUGUUGCCAAUACCAAGGACGGGCCAAGAAACCAGCGUCGGAAUAUUCAUCAAAAUAGGGGCUAUAGCGGUAAAAAUGACGUAAUUAUGAGGGUAUGCUCAAGGGACCCUGUCCUAGGCACAGUGCCCCGAAUGCCCCCUCUGACCACUCUUGGGAAAACUGCUUUGUGAUGCAGGAAUUUUGUCUUCAAGCAUAGAGAGAUCACCAAGGGGGAAUGGUGAUGGACCUUCGGGCUAGUUUGGUCCCGGCAGAUCACAAGGUGGCUCGUUUGGCGGUUUCCCUGGUUCCGGCCCUGAUGGGCAAGGAGGCUCGAAUAACAGCGGCGGACAACAUUCUGGCCAAGGUAACCAGCAGUACAAUAAUCAAGGCGGUUUUCAGCGGCACAACAACCAAGGCGGUUUUCAGCAGCUAUUGGGGAUAUACCCCGCAGUGACACCUGGCUUGAUGUAUGACCCGCCAAGAACUUGGCGACUCACCAGCAACUCAUAUUUGACCCCGCAGGCGACUCACACAAACGACAAAGGCCCAAGGCCCGGCGUUCACACUGGCAUAAGGCAUCUCAUAGAGAUCCCAAGAGGGUCGGCUCACAAGAGAAGGCCCAAGAAGAGGAAAGACUCCCACAAGAAGGAAACAAGACCCGGAUUAGGAUUCAAGAGAGGCUAGUCCUAUUCCUACUCCUAGUAGGACUCUACAUGUAAACAUACCCCUUCCACCUAUAUAAGGAGCGGUAAGGCGCCCCAAGAGGGUCAAGAUUCACAACUUAGGUCUAGACAAGACAAAUCAUGAGAUAGACAGAUUAGACACCCACAAGAUUAGAGGUGCCGAGUCUGCACCCUUGUAAUCGAGAUCAUCAUCUUCAUCAAUGAAACACAAGCAGGACGUAGGCUUUUACCUCCAUCGGAGGGGCCGAACCUGGGUAAACUCGCGUCUCUCGAUUUCGACCAACCCCUCUCAAGCCGCCACAUGGUCGCGAUGGCCUCACACCUAAGUUCUCUCACAAGGACAUAUGCCGUGAGAAAACCACGACAUUUGGCGCCCACUGCGGGGCCUGAUUGCACGGUGGUAUUGUGUUCUUGGAGGGACCUCUUCAAGGGUUGAGAAGUUCGCGAUUCAUCGGAUGAAGAAGAGACAACACGAAACUAUUCAGGCACAUACAUGAUUGAGAUCGAGAGAAAAUUUAGGGUUACAUCUAUGCAGCGCAUCGUCGCACAUGAUUUGUUUGAUCGCUUUCUACGGCGGAGUCAACGAGUUUUUUUCCAUCUGAGAUUCAAAUCCUAACCUUCGGCUCGUUUUCGGAUCGGAACGCGCAAAGCAAUCUGCCAACAUAUAUAGGCUGAAGAUGAGCCGACAUGGAACAAAGCCAACAAAUUCAUCGUUUAGUGACAAGUAUCGUGAUUAAUUUUGGAACCGGCGGUACAAAAAGAAGUGAAGUUUGGAUCAUGUAUACGCGCCAUCGCGCGUGACCCGGCGAUCUAUCGAAACCAGAGGAAUACGUGACCAGGUGACCCAUCGAGCCGGAUGAAUUUUACGCCAACCAACAAGAUGAGUCCGACACAGAAUUUACUACAGCCGCCAAACACCACGCCGUACGGCGGAAAGGGAUUUGGAACACCAUGUCAUACACUACAUCAUCUGGCAAGAUCGCGUGGAGAAGCACCACAAGUUUAGAAAAAGAAGUGGGAGGCAGGUGGCCAUGACCCGGAUGCGGAAGUGACCCACGCUCGGUCUCCGUCGUCGUGGCCUCGCGUUGAGUCGGCUCACUGCAUCGCGCGUGCGGCCGCCGCCCUAGCUCGCCUCGUCGUUGUAGCUAUUAGAAACUAAUUAGUAGAUUAAUUAGCCAAGGGAUGUGUCCAACCCCGAAUAGUUGUGUCUCCUCUCUCUCUCUAUUGCCAACAGGCACCUGUUCUGGAGGGAUGCCUCCGAACAGACACCUCUUCUUCGCACCUCUUCCAGAUGUAUAUAUACUUGAGAAUCAAUAGAAAUCAGGACUAAUCGUCCAUUCACUUUCAUUCAAUCUCGUUUUACUCUAACACGUUAUCAUGCACUUUGCUCUUCAUUAGAGAGAUUGGCUAAAACAGAGAAGAACGAGGAUGAACUAGGUAUUAGGCUUCAUCAAUUCACAAAUCAUUUUCGAACGGCAACAGGAAAGGAGGAACAGAGAAGGAGAUGAAGAAAGGAAUUGAAGAGAACACAAGAUCGCCAAAGACUAAAGUCUCCAUGGGAGACUAAACGAACAUCUUGAUCUCUAAUUGCAGCAGGCCCUCAGGCACGGCCGCAGUUCCUUUUCGUAGGAGAUCAAAUGAAUACAGAAGUCUUGAUCUAAUUGCUACUCUACAAUAACAAGGUGUCCCUCUUCCUAAUCUAAUACUGCACGUAGGACGUAGCACAUAAUAAACAAUCUUAGAAUUAUCUCUGGCCUUAGCCAUGGAAGGGUCGAAUGCCUUGCGCAUGCAAAGGCUGCUCUUAGGGNNNNNNNNNNNNNNNNNNNNNNNNNNNNNNNNNNNNNNNNNNNNNNNNNNNNNNNNNNNNNNNNNNNNNNNNNNNNNNNNNNNNNNNNNNNNNNNNNNNNNNNNNNNNNNNNNNNNNNNNNNNNNNNNNNNNNNNNNNNNNNNNNNNNNNNNNNNNNNNNNNNNNNNNNNNNAACAACCAUAAUUUUUGCAAGUGAUUUUUUUUCUUGCAAAUCCAAUUGUAAUUCAACACAUGAAUUAUGAAGUGUCAUUCUCAAUUUGACAACCUGCAUUUAUUUGUGAAUCACAAGGUAUUGAUGGCAUCUACUGCAUAAUUUGCAGAUUAUCCAUCAUUAUUAUGAGGUCUAUAUUUUAUCAUUUAGAUAAGAUGACUACCUUCAAUGUGUUUUUUCAAAUAUUAAUAUUAAUGUGGCUACCUAAAGAUAUAAUAAGAUAAUAUUGGCAUCUACUGCAAAAUUUUGCAGACUACUCACUAUUACUGCAAGGUCUACAUCAUGUCACUUUGACAAAUGAUUGCCUUCAAAGUGAUUUCAUACAUUUAGCAUAACAUAAGGUAAUAGAAUUAUAAACAUCUACUGACUAUAGUCAGACUAUGUUUUCUAUUACUGCGAGAUCUACACCAUAUUGGUGAUUAUCUUUAAAGUGUUAUCCUAUAUAAAUUGAGGCCUACACAUAUGGCUAUAUGGCAUCAGACGUACUAAAAUUUGCUCCUCUAAAGCAAUUGUUGUUGUUCACUAAAAUGAUUUACUAUCAUAGUAAAUUCAUGCAUGAUUAUUGCAUGUUGAAUGGUAUUAUCUACCAAUAUCAAUUAUUCAAGCCUCUUUUUGCUUGAAUAUGUCAUAGGGAACUACAUAAAUAUUUGCAUUUACUUGUGAUUACCUUCUAUUACAUUGGUAAAAUACAUAGCAAUGAAGCCUACGACAAUAUUUCUAAUUAUAGUGUCGUCCAUCCAUCAUGAUGGACCACAUAAUUAUGACAAUGAUUAAGUGUCUCAACACUUUCGCAAGGUCCACAGGACAUCAUGGUUAUAAUUUCAUAGUGACUAACCAAUGUUAAGCAUGCAAGUCUAUAUGUUUUGGAAGUGACUCUAAAGUCACACACUUCCUCAAGAAUGAAGUCCAAAACAUUAGCAAUAAUUUAAUCACAUGUGUUAUAUUGAAGGAUACACCCAGGUUCACCAAGGAUCAUCUUGACCAUGAUUGUUCUCAAACAAAUCAUUUAUUUAUAGAUGCUACUUACUCCUAGAAGUAAAUUAAAUAAAUGCAUUAGCAUUUUCAAGUAACGCAUGGCUCACAUUUUCAAAUAUAGUAAGUACAUGUUAGGUGAUAUUAUUUAUGGUAAGAUGAUUUAAUACAUCAGUCGUUGUAUCCACCCGAGAUAUUAUUGGUACUAUAACCUCACCUUCGGAAUAUGUGUCAUGGCUAUUCUCUUAAUAGCUAAGUAUGAUCAUAUGUAUUUCAUCUCUCACCAACUUCACUUAGUUCUCAAACUAAGUACAUAAUGGAUGAAUAUUUAUUCACCUUGAAUAUUUCCCUUAAGAGAAACAUGCUGCCCCGAGCACAUUUGGAAUGAUCACCCAAUAAUUUUUCAAGACCUCAUGUCUAUCGCAACUUACAAUUUUGGUAAUUAUAAAAUCAACUUGAAGUUGAGAUCUCAUGAUCUGACAUUUUCAUAUGCAGAUCAGGUUGAAAAGCCCUUGAUACACUUUACAUCUCCUUAUGAUGGCAUUACCAUUUUCAUGGUACAGAAACAUGGAAUUUCAUAAAAUCAUGAGAUACACCCAACGAGUGCUAUUCCAUUCUUUGAAAUUCUUGCUAGUAUUGUGAAUAAUAAUCAAGUCAUUGGUCACAAAAUAGAACCAUGAUGUAUUCAAGGUAAAGUGGAGGCUAAAAUACAACCAAAGAUGGAACUUUUCUUAAUAGGGAAUAUAUCGUUUUCAAACGAUCAACGACAACUCUCAAGUUUGUCAAGUGUGUGGUUAUUUAAACAUCGUACCUAUGAUUACCAAACCCUCAAACAUAUGGUCAAACCACACCAUGAUUUUAUUAAAAGGCAAAUAAGUUCAUUGUGGUAUUUGAAAAUUUGCAAACAUACGACCAGAAACUAUUCUGGUAAAUGAUGUUCUCGAAUCUUCAUGAGAAGGAGAACCAAAAUAUAGUGCAAUAAAAGAAUGAUCAAUUCAUUUGUGCCUAUGAUAUGUUUGCAUAACUCGUUUUUCCGUAAUAUGGGAGACCUCAUGUAAUAUCCCGAUUAUUCCCAAAAUAUUGUUUGGCUAUAGUCGUACUACUACAUGUAGUAUAAAUGUCAAAUAUCCUAUUUCUUGGACAUUAUAUUUGAUAACUUUUGCAUGUAACAAUCAAUUCAUACUCAGUUUUGUUGCGUACACAAUAAUUUUCUAAAUCUUACAAAAUAUUUGGUUUUAAGCCUUACAAUCCAGGUUUGGGGUUGUUUUAGAAAAUUAUUGACAAUUCUAUUGGUCACAACUUAACAAGUUGCAAAAUUUCCCAAAUCAUCAGAUUUUAUGUGCACCACAUGUGCCAUAAGGGAAAUUAAUUUAAAGAACUCUCACCUUACAAUUCUAAAUGAGCCAACUCAUUCUUCCUUGAACACAUUUAGAAGAUAUGUGCAUUCUCAACCAUUGUGUGGUAUUUUAUAGAUACUUUAUGGUACUCAUUAAAACAUUUAUAAAAUGAUUUCUGGUGUGUCUCUUGUCACACAAACCAUGAAUGAUAUAACUAAAUCAAUUGCUCAAAUUCUCAAAGUAAGAGCAAGUUAUCCUAAACAAGGAAUAAAUCCAUUCGAAUGGAAAACUUUGUUGAACUCAUUUCACAAGAAAUAUCUGAUUAUAUAUAAUACUUUAUGUACAUACCCAAAAUUGUUUAGUUCAAUAUCUUAUCAAAGAUAGUGAAAUUAAUAAUAUGACCAAACUUAUAGAAUCAUGAUUUACUAGCCUCAUGCUAGACAAAUACGGCAUUACACACCAUAAGUAUGAUAUAAAUCAUACCAACUGCAUAGCAUACUACUUUCCCCUUUUAGUACUUACGUGGAAAUCAACAAAGUAUUUUCUAUCUGCGAUAAUUCGGUCACAUACCGAUAUCACCACUCCAGCAUACAUCAGUGGGCUCUCACAGAAAAUUAGGGAUCUAAGUGAGGAAUGACAAUUUAUCCGUCAAUCAAAAUUAUUCAUAGCCCGUAUGUUGAUUGCAUCAGCAAUAAGGACAUUUCUGGCAUUAGGGGGAGAUAAGUACCACAAAGAAUGCCAAGAAAUAAAUUAGGAAUGUUAUUCACAUUCAGUCCUUAUAUCCACGUACUCAAAGAAUCUGAACAAGAAGUUUAGAAUCACAUAUUUGCAACACAUUGCAAAUCUGCCACAUACAUUUACUGAUGACAAAGGUGCACUCAAUUUUAUAUUCCUGCAGUAAAGUGUCAGAAAGAGUGGAGGUACCUGAUAAACCACUCUUCUCCCAAAAUGAGAGCAAGAGGGGGAGAAAUCUGACCACACGAGAUAUAAUCUCGCAUAUGCUUCCAAGGAAAUAGAGGAAAUCAAAUCCUCAACUAGUAAAUGUAAUUCAACAUCAAGUUGAAAGACACCUCACUGGAUGCUCAUCAUCCAAAUCCUGACAUAAAUGUGCACAAAUGUUUUGGUGUCGGGACAUCGAAACACCUUGACUCGAUUGUUGUAGGAAAUCACAAGGAGUUAAAAGGAAUAAAUACAUUUCCACAAAUUUCAUCGGUUCCAUCAGAAUCAUAUAAAAUAAAGACUACAUUUGUCGACAUAUAUUUAUUCUCAAAAUUGCUAAAACCUUUUGGGCCCUGAACCAAAAUCCAUGGUAGAGUGCCUCUUGCACUCAUAUUGUUUCACAUAAAAUAAAGCAAGUAAUGAAGAAUAGCCUCGCUCUACAAAUGAGUGGUAUUUACCACAGUAAUACCUACUCCUCAUAAGUAUCUUCCAUAUGGAAUACUAAAAACUUCUCAUUCAUAGACAAAUUCAAUGAGGUGGUGAGAAAGCGAGGCUUGUAGCAAAAGGGUUCACGCAGAGACCCGACAUCAAAUUAUGAUGUAACAUACCCUCUUGGUAUGAGUGGAAUUAAGUUUCGAUAACAAAUAUCAUUGGCAGUACAAAUAAUAUUAUCCAUGUAGUUAAUGGAUGAAGUGACUACAUACUCAUAUGGGUUACUCAUUUCGGAAAUUUAUAACGAAGUACCUCAAGGGCUUACAAUUCCGAAUCCAAAAUAAAUCGCAACAUAUAUGUGUAAAAUUUCAGAAGUCACUCUAUGGCUUGAAAUAGUCGGAAAUCAUAUGGUACUACCGACUAAAUGAGUUCCUUCUUCAAAGGAUUACUCAAAGGAUGAUAAUUUGUUUAUGUGUUAAUAAAGGUAUCCCAAAUUUGAAUUCCUUAUAUCACCUCAGUGUAUAUCGAUGAUUUCAUCAUCAAUGUCUCUACAAGACCUAAACAUACACAAAAUCAUCUCAAGACGGAAAAUUUGGAUUUAACCAAAUUUAGCUUAAGUUUGCAACUUGAGCAUUCUAUCAAGAAUUAGUAUCAGCCUACAUAUAUCCAAAACAUAUACGAGAAGUUCAGUGUGAAUAUAUCAUAACAACAAAAGACAUGUAUGGUCAUACUACCUUUGAUAAGGUACAAAUCUAUUCAUACCUAGGGGUGAUAAUGAAGUGAUACUAGGACCUGAAGUUCUAUAUAUCACUAAUGUCAAAGCACUCAUAUACUUGCAAACUACGUCAGGCCUGACACUAUAUUUGCUAUCUUUAUUCAGAGUGCAACCCCCAACAAAAGGUAUAUGGUUGAUAUAAGUAAUAUCAUCUUAUAUCUGAAGAUUACACUAAAUAUUGAAUAUUUCCAUCAGGAAAUAGAGGAUAUGACCAUGAUAUGAUGUAAUGAUAUUGGCUCUUUAUUUGAUCCCAACGAUGCCAUAUCAAUGACUGAAUUUGCUGGAAUAGCCUUCACAUGGAAUUCAUAUAAAUGGAUUUUAGUGGUUAUUUUCAGUUAUCAUUCUAACAUAAUUGCUUUAUCUAAAGGCAUUGCAAAAUGUGCAUAACUUAGUAGAAUGGUUAACCACACUCAAAAUCAUGUGGUUGAGAUUCAUCAGAAUCACAUAACUUGAUUUAUCAAGAUACUUCCACUUGUGUUACUCAAUACCUAUAGGUUAUAUGAAGAGCAAUAUCAUAAAUCACAUUGCUCGGAAAUUACUUAGCCUCACGGAUUAUAGAAAAGUGAGGAAAUAAUUUGCAAACAUACUACUGUUAUAAUCCAACAGAUUAUACACAAUCUCAUGUUCAUGUCAAUGGAAUUGGUAUGAGACAUCCUUCAUAUUUGCAAAGUUCAGGGGGAGUACUCUCCCAAACUAUAACCUAUUAACAAUCAUCAGAUUGCAUAUAUUGUACUCUUUUUCCCUUGAUGAGUUUUCCCUAUUGGUUUCUCAUAAAAGGUUUUUAACGAGACAAUAUAAACACAAGUGUCUUUAUAUGCCAUAUCAUUUUCUCCUUGUAUUUUUCCCAUUGGGUUUUAAAGGAGUUUUCAAUGGCAUGUACAAUUGCACUUUUUCCCUUAUGUGUUUUCUCUCAAGUUUCUCAUAAUGGUUUUUAGUGAGGCAAUAUCUUCUCAAAGAUCAUAUGUCAUACUUUCUAUUUUCCCUACCAGGGUUUUUAAAGGAAGUACUCAAGACAUAUUAAUUUUUCUCUAAACUUAUCAGUGAGUUUUCUCCUUCUUCAAAGGAUUUCUCAUAUGAGUUAUCAAGAGACAAUGAUCAUCAUAUGUUGCAUCAUUUUCUCCUUAUUUUUCCCACAGGGUUUGAAGGAGUUUUAGCAACAUAUCUACUCUAUUCUCCUCAUAUUUUUCCCACACGGUUUUUGGGGGAGACUCUCAAGAUUAUCUGGAAGAUUUCUCAAGAUGGAAGAUAUAUAUGCAAGAAGCUUUCAACGAUUAAACAUUCAAGGAGCGGUGUUGUACAAGGGGGAGUGUUAGAAACUAAUUAGUAGAUUAAUUAGCCAAGGGAUGUGUCCAACCCCGAAUAGUUGUGUCUCCUCUCUCUCUCUAUUGCCAACAGGCACCUGUUCUGGAGGGAUGCCUCCGAACAGACACCUCUUCUUCGCACCUCUUCUAGAUGUAUAUAUACUUGAGAAUCAAUAGAAAUCAGGACUAAUCGUCCAUUCACUUUCAUUCAAUCUCGUUUUACUCUAACACGUUAUCAUGCACUUUGCUCUUCAUUAGAGAGAUUGGCUAAAACAGAGAAGAACGAGGAUGAACUAGGUAUUAGGCUUCAUCAAUUCACAAAUCAUUUUCGAACGGCAACAGGAAAGGAGGAACAGAGAAGGAGAUGAAGAAAGGAAUUGAAGAGAACACAAGAUCGCCAAAGACUAAAGUCUCCAUGGGAGACUAAACGAACAUCUUGAUCUCUAAUUGCAGCAGGCCCUCAGGCACGGCCGCAGUUCCUUUUCGUAGGAGAUCAAAUGAAUACAGAAGUCUUGAUCUAAUUGCUACUCUACAAUAACAAGGUGUCCCUCUUCCUAAUCUAAUACUGCACGUAGGACGUAGCACAUAAUAAACAAUCUUAGAAUUAUCUCUGGCCUUAGCCAUGGAAGGGUCGAAUGCCUUGCGCAUGCAAAGGCUGCUCUUAGGGNAGCUGAAGAAACUUUUAUGGGCACGAUACUCAAGCGACCCUCUUUUGUGACUCAUGCAGGCGAUUUGCUAGGGAGUCGCUCAUUUCCUUGGCAGCUGCAAGCUCGAAGAUGACCUAUGCCUAAAUAAACAAGAUACAGAAAGAUAACAACCCGGUGGCACAACUUCGUGGGACGACCACAUCGACCAAGGCAAUGUUAUGCUGGCCAAAACAAUGCAAAGGCAGCAGUGCUUUUCCAAUCACGGAGUCUACCAGAGCUUAGAGGAGCCGGCGUUUCUAAGCACAUGAGACAAGAGGAACAGAUUCAGAUUCCUUCCGAACUCAAGGAUCAGGCUUAUUUAUCAGUUAAUAGCAUGAGACGGAGUCCUGAAAGAUUAGCAAACAACACUACAGCAACUUGUGUGCCAUCACUACUCUGAUCAAAACCUAAGACAAAAAGCAAAGUACACUGAUCAUAUCGGUGAGGCUACACAUCUGCAUUCACCCGAUAAAAAUCUCAGGUGAUAUUCAUCCUAUCUUUUUUUUCACCUACAUAUUAAUUCAUCCGAGAACGAUUACUCUAGCGUAUAGUAUUUUUUACGCAGGACAAUUAUUCAUUACAAAAGCGGUGGCAUAUUGCGAGUAUGAAGCUCGUGUCAAUCAAAGCCACGGGUGACUCACUAUCCUUGUCGGCCUACAAUGUCAUGGGCGAUUCACCGUCUGCGGCGGUCUACAACAACACGGGCAACUCACCGUCCAAGGCGGCUUAUGCUACUGCAAAAAAAGAGCUUCCAACGGCGCUAGAAAUAGGAGUAUUUACGGCGCCAGAAAUCCUUCUGCUACGGCUACGCCUUAAGGGACUUCCUAGGCAUAUAUGCAAAGGAUUUCCCCGUGGCCUUGGAGCCUUGUGUUGGUGUUCCCUCGAAGCGUAAAGGGUGAUGUAGCGCAGUGGUGGUAAGUAUUUCCCUCAGUUUUGAGAACCAAGGUAUCGAUCCAGUGAAGGAGUAUCACAAGAGCCUGCACAAACACAAAAAGCUUGCUCCCAACGCUAUGAAGGGGUUGUCAAUCCCUUAUAGAUUGUUCACCAAGUGAAAACUGAAAGCAACAAAGUAACAAAGCAAAGUAAAAGCGAAAGUGGAAACGAUAGGUGUGAAUAGACCCGGGGGCCGUAGUGUUUCUAGUGGCUUCACUCAUGAAAGCAAGUAGACGAUGGGUGAACAAAUUACUGUCGAGCAAUUGAUAAAACCGCGCAAAGUCGUGACGUCAUCUAUGGCAAUGAUAAUAUCUAUAGGCAUCACAUCCAAAACAAGUAGACCGAUACUUUAUGCAUCUACUACUAUUACUCCACACGUCGACCGCUAUCCAGCAUGCAUCUAGUGUAUUAAGUCCAAAAGAACAGAGUAACGCCUUAAGCAAGAUGACAUGAUGUAGAUGGACAAUCUCAUAUCAACGACAAAGCCCACCUUGUUACCCUUGAUGGCAACUACUCAAUGUGUGCCUUGCUGCCCCUACUGUCACUGGGAAAGGUCACCACAUGGUAAGAACCCAAAACCAAGCACUUCUCCCAUUGCAAGAAUCAUAGAUCUAGUUGGCCAAACAAAACCCAAGACUCGGAGAGACUUACAAGGAUAUCAAAUCAUGCAUAUAAGAAAUCAACAAAGACUCAAAUAUAUAUCAUAGAUAAUCUGAUCACAAAUCCGCAAUUCAUCGGAUCUCGACAAACACACCGCCAAAGAAGAUUACAUCGGAUACAUCUCCAUGAAGAUCAUGGAGAACUUUGUAUUGAAGAUCCAAGAGAGAGAAGAAGCCAUCUAACUACUAACUACGGACCUGUAGGUCUGAAGUGAACUAGUCAUGAGUCAUUGGAGGGGCGAUGAUGAUGAUGAUGAAACCCUCCAACUCCAAAGUCCCCUCCGACAGGGCACCGAGAAGGGUCUCCAGAUGAGAUCUCGCGGAAACGAAAGCUUGCGGCGGCGGAAAAGUAUUUUCGUGGCUCCCUUGAUUUUUUUUAUGAUUUUUAGGGAAUAUAUAGGUGCAAGAUCUAGGUCAGGGGGGCGCCAGGGAGGCCACAAGCCUGCCCACCGCCGCAUCCCCCCUGGUGGCGGAGUGGGGGCUUGUGGGCUCCCUGUAGCCCUCCUGGCUUGGCCCACAGGCCCCCUGAUCUUCCUUCGUUCGGGAAAAAAUCAUUUCAGGGAUUUUAUUCCGUUUGGACUCUGUUCCAAAAUCAGAUCUGAAAAGAGCCAAAAACACAGAAAAAACAGGAACUGGCACUUGGCACUGAAUUAAUAAGUUAGUCCCAAAAAAUAUAUAAAAGGUACAUAAAACAUCCAAAGAUGACAAGAUAACGGCAUGAAACCAUCAAAAAUUAUAGAUACGUUUGAGACGUAUCAGCUUACAAUGACGCGGCCAACUCUCAUGUCCGCGUGACCAGGGCGACUUACAAUGACACGGCCAACUCUCACGUCCGUGUGAUCAAAGAUGGAUUACAAUGACACAACCGAUGCUCGGGUCCAUACAACUCUCGCAUUCCAUAUCAACAAGUCGGUGCAGUGCUCGCCUUUACGAGCCAGCCAACAGACGGACACAAGACACCUCUCCCAUGGUCCGUUUGAUAUUAACUCACCGGUGCAGUGCUAGCCUGUAUGAGCCGCCCAACAGACUGAUGCAAAACGCCAGCCCCGCGGUCCGGAUGACAUCAACAUAUCGGUGCAGUGCUCGCUUGGAUGAGCCGCCCAACACACACGCGCAAACUGCCGUCUGUUCUCCAUCAAAUAUAUCGGUGCAGUGCUCACCUAUGCGAGCCGCCCAACGGACACAUGCAAGUCGCCUCUGCGGACCAUCUCCCCCAACAACAUUGGAGCAAAGAAAAAAAUGACAUUCAUGUCUUACACAUCAUCACCAAAACACGGACCAGCUCUAAACUUGCGUCGGGUUGCUCAAUGAAUAGAAACAUUGGCCAAUGCUAUCUAUUUCAGGAUAUCAAAAGUAACACGAGAGUUUGUCAUGAAGGAUCCAUCCCUGAUGAAGCUACAGUUGGAGCCAGUCAUCAUUGAGCCGACAAUUCAAAGCAAUAGAAAAAGAAAAGGAAAGUGGCCUUGGAGGAACCGCGAGAGCCGGACUACCUGAGAAAUAAGCAUGGGUCAAAAGUCCAUUAUUCACCAUCAACCCUAUCUCGGUUUAUGUCACAAUCAAGUAUGGACAUUCUCAAGCCGCCUCCUUGAAGUCGACUUAAGACUCGGGGGCUACACAGGCAUAGACUCGGCAGAUUCAACCGGGCUGAAUAAUUCAAGAACCACGGGUCAUUAAAGGAAAAUUAAGCCGGUCUCGAGGGCUGAUGCCUCAUUGACGAGAAGAUUUAAAGAUCACCUAAGAAGACAAGUCGCCAUGAUGCGACCACCCAAACAUGGGUGCCCGACCUUAUUGGCGGAUGAUUCAUAAGUCGCCAAAGAGGAUGGCGCUACCAGUAUCAAAGAGGGUGAGCCGCCAUAUUGCACUCGUCCAAACAUGGGUGCUGGUAAGCCAAGGAGGACCAAACAGUUGCCAUGAGCAUGGUUCAAACAUAGGCACCCAAUUAUGUUCUUGAGAAUUAACUCGGCUUACUUGGGGGCUACUAGCUUCCCAAGUCGUUUUGCAGUAAGAGCGUAAACUUCUGCAAUCCUAUGCUCGACUUUUCCCUGAUCAUAGGUCAUUUGGGGGCUUCCGACUCACUGAGUUUAGCCUGAAUACCCUCUUGGCUAGCGAAAAUUUAUCGCAUUACAAUGGUUAUAUUGGACCGUAUGUUUGGCGACUCACCCUUCACGCCCCUUAGAAAUCUUGGCGUGCCAAUCCAAAUUGGACCCUGAACUCCCAACGUUAAAACGAGUGGAGCUGGUGGGAGUCGGCAUAUGGAAAAUAGACAAACCAUGGGUUCACUGAACCUUCUUCACUAAAGCUUGACUCGCGCCUGAUUAGCCGGUCUAAACAACUAAGGUUGUUGCAAAAGCCUCUUUAGGGUAGCACUAGAGCAUUGCAAGCUCAUCCUACCCUGCCGUGACUCACUGAGCCGGCCGUCCUGACUCACUGAGCCGGCUUAACCUGUUUUGGGUACCACUAGAGCCUUGAGAGCUCGACCUACCCGCCGUGACUCACUGAGCCGUCUGCCAUGACUUACUGAGUCGGUUUAUUUAAAAUAAUUUGAUGACAUACUAUGGUGUUGCCACCAUUAUUCUAUCAUAUACAUGCAUCAUAUUGCACUGCAUCAUGCAUCAUACAUACAUAUCAUGACGGUCUUAAACCAGGUCAAAGCAUAAUUUUUUGCAUGAGCAAAUAUAUCUUUAAUAGCCAAUUUGGUUGGAUUUUCAUCAUCAUUCAUCAUAACCAGUGUUAAAUGAUUGGGGUUUUUAAGCCAGCUAGGAAGAAUUGACUAUUAUCGAAGAGUCGCCCUAUCACAUAUAAUGUCGGGUCAUCUAAUUGACCGGCUCUUUGAUUUCUUCAACUUGUGCUCUGUAGUAAACUACAACACUUAUGGAUUUCUCAACCAUGUAUUUGUGGGGUUACAUUGCAACCACGGCCAAGGAUUUCUUUCACCACAAAGGUAUCAUGAGAGUGGAUAUGAUUCUACAAUGGAAGGAAUAGUCCCAAGUCACUGCAGGCACACAACUCGGCACUUGGGGGCUACAUUACUCAAAUCAAGAUUACAUUGAAGUAUGGAAGUCCCAUGUCGCUGCAAGCAUGCACCAUGACACUUGGGGGCUAAUGCAAACUGCUCUUUCAAAUCAUCACAUCAUGAAUAGACCCGGCUAUUUCAAGGAGAUAAGCCGGCCCUGGGGGGGCUACAGGUCGCUCUUUAUUCAAGUAUGGAUUCAACGAAGAACCGGCUCAUCAUUUUUGUAUUGAUCCGGCCCUUGGGGGCUACGCAUUGCCCCUCAAGUUUACAUAGUCAGAUCUACAAAGUCCCUCCUCAAUGUUGCAUAAUGACCCGACCCUUCGGGGCUACAUCAUAUGAUGUUUUAUUUUCAAAGGAGAAGAACGUGGAAGUCCCGAGUCGUCGCAAGCAAUCGACCCGUCACUUGGGGGCUACACUAUUCGGAUCAUAAUUUCUAAAGUCCCAGGUUGUUUUAGGCAAGACAACCCGGCACUUGGGGGCUACAGCACUAAGUUGUUUCAUAGAUCAUGAGGUUCAAAUUGAAGACGCAGACCAUCACACACUGAUGACCUGGCCCUUGGGAGCUACACCAGCUGAAGCUUUAUAAAUGUAAGAUGAUUACAAGUCCCAGGCUGCUGCAAGGAAGACAACUCGACACUUGGGGGCUACAUGGUCAAAGAUAUUAUUGAAAAACACCAAAUCACCAUAAACUGAUAAACUUGGAGUUUGGGGGCUACAGGUAAUAUGGAUAUAUCAAAAAAUUGAAGAGCACAUUUCAUUUCGUCAUGGAGGUGAAGUACUGAGAGACUGGAUCAACAUAUUUUUAUCUAGUUGAAGAAUUGAAAGACCGGCUCAACAUCACACGGAUUUCUUUAUCCCCAAUAAUUCGAUAUAGUCAAUUGGAGUUCAGUUGUUUGAUGGGGCAUUACCAAUAAUCAUGACCCGCCAUUAGCAAUCAUGACCUGCCAUUGUCAAUCAUAACCUGCCGAAGCAAGAGAAGUCAGUUCAACAUUGUGUGGAUUUCUUAUUCCCCAAAUUUUCAUCAAGCCAAAGUAUUGGAGGCCGAUUCAAUGGCAUAUGUAUUUUAUUAUGGAGGACACGUACCUGCAAAAUGAUUUAGGACAGUUCAAAGAACAAACCCAGAUUUUUCAAGGAGCCACUCAGUAAAUCAAGCCGGCCAGAGGAGCAAACCGGUCCCUUAACAUAUUUAUUAUUCUUAUUUCAGGAGCUUACCAUGAAUAGAUUCAAGCUAACCUGGGGGCUAAUGUCGGGGAUAUACCCCGCAGUGUAACCCGACUUGAAGUAUGACCCGCCAAGGACUUGGCGACACACCAGUGACUCAUAUUUGACCCCGCAGGCGACUCACACAAACGACAAAGGCCCAAGGCCCGGCAUGCACCAUGGCAUAAGGCGGCUCAUAGCCCAAGAGGGCCGGCUCACAAGAGAAGGCCCAAGAAGGGGAAAGACUCCCACAAGAAGGAAACAAGACCUGAAUUAGGAUUCAAGAGAGACUAGUCCUAUUCCUACUCCUAGUAGGACUCUACAUGUAAACCUACCCCUUCCACCUAUAUAAGGAGGGGUAAGGUGCCCCAAGAGGGACAAGAUUCACAACUUAGGUCUAGACAAGACAAAUCAUGAGAUAGAUAGAUUAGACACCCACGAGAUUAGAGGUGUUGAGUCUGCACCCUUGUAAUCGAGAUCAUCAUCUUCAUUAAUGAAACACAAGCAGGACGUAGGCUUUUACCUCCAUCAGAGGGGCCGAACCUGGGUAAACUCGCAUCUCUCAAUUCCGACCAACCCCUCUCAAGCCACCACAUGGUUGUGAUGGCCUCACACCUAAGUUCUCUCACAAGGACAUAUGUCGUGACAAAAUCACUACAGCAGCCAAACAACCAGGGCUGCUUGCAGAGCAACCCCAAGCAGCUGAAUACUGGUCAGUACCGUGUUUUCAGCACCAACACGUGCAAAAGGGACAAGAAAGUCAAAUAGAGGGCGAUAAACAUGGCAGAGCCGGCGGUUCCCAGAUAUCUCAAUUGGUCUGAAUAGCCCAUCACAUGGAGUAGAGCCAAUCACCCACCCCAGGUUGAUAACCUUAGCGACUUAGCAUUGGUGGUGGCGCCACAGGUUGGGGGAUCCACCCUCUCCAAGAUUCUCAUGGAUGGAGGCAGCAGCAUCAACAUCUUGUAUUAUUGAUAACUUCCGGCGAAUGAAUUUUUCCGAGAGCGACUUGAUGUCGUUGACCACGAUCUUUCAUGGCAUUGUCCCAGGCAAGUCAGUGUAUCCAUUUGGGCGGAUCAAGUUAAAUGUGGAUUUUGGUGAUGAAUAUUAUUAUAGGAGCGAGGCUCUGAUGUUUGAGGUCAUCAAGAUCAAGAGUCCUUAUCAUGCUCUGUUGAGCGGUCGGCUUACGCCCGCUUCAUGGUCCGACCCUGCUAUAUGCACCUCAAGCUCAAAAUGCUGGUUCUUAAAGGUACUAUCAGAAUCAAUGGGGACCGAAAGAUAGCAUGGGAAUGCGAAGAAGGAGACGUUGCCUACGCUGAGUUGGCAUGCGCUGCUGAAGAGUUGAAGUUUCACAAAGCCAAUGUAGACCCAGCUGACAUGAGUCCGCUCAAAAAACCAACUGUUGAUUCUGAGCCUCCCCUCAAGUUCAAGCCGGCAGAUGACACCAAGCAAGUUGGUUUCACCCCAGGCGACUCUUCUAAGAAGUUUACUAUUGGGACAGGCCUCGGUCCCAAAUAGGAAAGCGUUCUCAUCGAGUUCAUCCGUGAGAAUAGGGACAUCUUUGCAUGGAAGCCUUCUAACAUGCCAGGAGUACCGAGAGAAUUCGUUGAGCACCACCUCAAUGUGGAUCCCAAGAUGAAGUCGGUCCAACAGUACCUCCGUCGUUUUAACGAGGAGAGACGCAACGAAAUUGGGGAAGAAGUCCCCUGCCUCUUAGCCGCCCGCUUCAUCAUCGAAGUUUUUCAUCCUGAGUGGUUGGCUAACCCGGCCUUAGUUCUCAAGAACAACGACACUUUUCGCAUGUGCAUAAAUUAUACAGAUCUCAACAAAGCUUGCCCGAAGGAUCCUUUUGCCCUCCCCCGUAUCGAUUAAAUCAUUGACUCUACGGCGGAUUGUGAUCAUUUGUGCUUUCUGGAUGCGUACAAUGGUUACCACCAGAUCAUGAUGGCCAAAGAGGAUCAGGAGAAGACGGCUUUCAUAACUCCCUACGGCGCUUUCUGCUAUGUGUCUAUGCCCUUUGGUCUUAAGAGUGCGGGGGCGACUUAUCAAUGCUGCAUUCACUGUUUGAACAGUCAGAUUGGGCGCAAUGUUCAUGCCUACGUGGAUGAUAUCAUGGUGAAAUCCCAGAAGAAGGAGAUGCUUUUAAACGAUCUCAAGGAGAUGUUUAACAACCUUUGUGUGUACCUAAUGAAGCUUAACCUGGCCAAAUGUGUUUUGGAUGUUCCUGCAGGCAAGUUAUUGGGCUUCCUGGUGUCAGAGCGAGGUAAUGAAGCUAACUCGGAUAAACAAUCAAGGCAAUAACCUUGCUUGGUAAGCUGGCCAACAUCAACCAAGUCCAGCGCAUGGCGGGUCGUAUUGCGGCGUUGAGCCGUUUCAUAAGUCGCCUCGGUGAGAAGGACAUUCCCCUUUACCAGUUGCUCAAGAAAACGGAUCAUUUUGUUUGGACGGAUGCGGCCAACGAAGCUUUUCAAGCCCUCAAGAAACAACUUGUUGAGCCGCCUGUUUUAGCCGCCCCGACAGAUAAGGAACCUAUGCUACUUUACAUUGCUGCUAAUUCAAAGGCAGUAAGUGUGGUGGUGGUUGUUGAGCACAUGGAAGAAGGCAAAGAAUAUCUGGUUCAGCGGUCGGUGUAUUUUGUUAGUGAGGUGUUGACUUUGUCUAAUCAAUGGUACCCGCAUUGGCAGAAGCUAGUCUUUGGGAUUUUUAUGGCAAGCCGGAAGUUGAAGCAUUACUUUCAGGAGCACCCAAUCACUGUGGUCAGUUCAACGCCAAUUGGGGACAUUAUACAGAACCGCAAAGCUACUAGGUGGAUUGCUAAGUGGGCAAUUGAGCUUGGUCCCUGCCAUGUGAAGUAUAUGCCUCGCACGGCUAUCAACUCUCACGCUUUGGUGGAUUUCAUCAAUGAUUGGACCGACAUGCAGAUUCCAGAAGAGAGACCCGAUAACACGUACCGGACUAUCCACUUUGACGGUUCUAGGCAGUUGGAAGGCUCGGGAGCUGGCGCAGUGUUAUCUUCCCCAUGAGGUGACAAGUUUUGCUAUGUCUUGCGCCUCAUGUUUCCUUGCACCAACAACGCGGCUGAGUGUGAGCCUCUGCUCCAUGGGCUUAGAUAAUCUAAGGAGAUGAACCUCAGCCUGUUCAGAUGUUUGGGUGACUCAGAUUUAGUGGCUCAACAAGUCUCUAGAACUUGGGACUCCAAAGAUCCACUCAUGGCGGCUUAUAGGCAUGCAGUAACCGAGGUGGCGGGUCAUUUUAACGGCUACGAGGUUGAUCAUAUUGAUCUUGAACAGAAUGAGGCGGNNNNNNNNNNNNNNNNNNNNNNNNNNNNNNNNNNNNNNNNNNNNNNNNNNNNNNNNNNNNNNNNNNNNNNNNNNNNNNNNNNNNNNNNNNNNNNNNNNNNUUUUUCUUGCUUGACAAGAUAUGGUUCCCGACAUUCCGUGACUAAGGAACAAACAAAAUGCAAAGAAAAAUCGACAGGAAUUUCAAUGCCACCUUGAUUCAAAUUCUUUAUAGUUGAAGAAGUCAUGCUAUGUUCUCAUCAUUGAUUUUAAAUGGAUGAAUUUGAAUUUACAGGAAAAAGGGGAAAAUCAUUUUAUUCCCUCUCAUUCAAAAGUUUUGAAAAAUUUCAAACUUCACUCAAGUUUCAAUCACUCAAACAAACAAACNNNNNNNNNAUCUAAUAAUUAUAUUAACAUUCCAAAAUUUGGGAUGUUACACCCAACUACUGGAAAUCAUUAAGGUAAGCCCAACCAUAGCGUUAAACAUACAGUCCUCUUUACUCCCAUACAGGCACAACUCCCUUACUCGGAUGUAAGUUUCUUUCACUCUCGCCAACCACUAUAAGUGAAUCAUGAAUAUAUUGCAAACCCUUCAGCGUGUAUCCUUCAUGUGUGUGCAUCACUAAAAGCACCUUAUCAAUACACAACCCAUAUCAAAAACACCAUCUCACAAUUAACCCGUAGGACAAAACGGAUAUACUCAAACAUCAUAGGAUAACCAUAUAUCAUUGCGAAAUAGUAUGUAGCAUUGGGCAUCAUGUUUAAGUACAGAGUUACAUUGUGAAAAUAUGUGUUAUACCGCUGCAUAGAGGGGGAGAGAUUGGAAUUGAAGGUGGCAAGAUUGUUGUUGUAGAUUACCAUCAUGCUCCUUGCCCCGGCGGCACUCCGGCGCCACCAUGAGAGAGGGGGCAGAGCCCGCUCCUUCUUCUUCUUCCUUGGACUCCCCCUAGAUGGGAGAAGAGUUCCUCCUAUCGCCCAUCGCCUCAAUGGCGGCGGAGGGGCAGGAGCCCUUCCAAGAUUGGAUCUCCCACUCUGUUCUCUUUUGUUUCACAUUCUUGUUUUCUCGCCCUUCACUGUUUAUUAAAUUCCUGGAGAUCCGUAACUCCGACCGGGCUAAAAUUUUCAGGGGAUAUUUAUCCAUAAAUUAGGUUUCUUGUUCUCCAAGGAGAGCCACAACUGACUUAAGGGGUGCCCACUCGACACCACCCCGCGCCAGGGGUCCCAGGCGCACCCUGGUGUCAAGUGGAGGUCAUGGGCCUCCGUUUUCCUUGGUUCCACCUCCCAAAAAUCACAUAUAUUCCAAAAUAAUUAUUUGUAAAUUUUUAUCGCGUAUGGACUUCAUUUGAUAUGGAUAUUUCGAUAAACACAAAAAACAUGUGACAAACAGGAACUCGCACUUGGCACUGGAUCAAUAUGUUAGUCCAAUAAAUCAUAUAAAUUGUUGCCAAAAAUAUGUGAAAGUUGUAUAAUAUUGACAUGGAACAACCAAAAAUUAUAGAUACGACGGAGAUGUAUCACCAUCCCCAAGCUUAAUUCCUGCUCGUCCUGGAGUAGAUAAAUGAUAAAAAAGAUAAUUUUUAAUGUGGAAUGCUACCUAGCAUGAUCUUGAUCAUAUAUCUAAUCAUGGCAUGAAUAUUAAGAUACAAGUGAUUCAAGGCAAUAGUCUAUCAUUUGACAAAAAAAGGCAUCCAUACCCAGGUUUACUAGCAAACAGUCAUGUCCUUUCAAAAUAACAAUGCUAAAUAAAGCUAUCCGUACAAAAUCAUAUAGCCUAUCAUGCUUGGUCUUCCUAGCAUAAGGUAUAAAUCAUGAUCACCCUAGUGUCAAAUCAAGCAAUUGGAUCGUUGUUUUUAACGCGCUUCAGCUUUUUAUUACUCACUCGAUACAUGAGCGUGAACCAUGGAUAUAUCAUAAAGGUGGAAUAGAAUUUCGUGGUAGGUUUCAAAGGGGGUAAAAGUGAAGAAGAAAGUCUCGCAUCAACUCAGCAUAUCAACGGGCUAUGAAGAUGUCCAUCAAUAGAUAUCAAUGCGAGGAGUAGGGAUUGGCAUGCAACGGAUGCACUAAGAGCUAUAAGUGUAUGGAAUCUCAACGUGAAAACUAAGUGGGUGUGCUUCAAACUCUAAUUAAAAAUUCCCAAUAGUUUAUGAAAGUGACAACAUAGGAGACUCUCCAUAUGAAAAACAUGGUGCUACUUUGAAGCACAAGUGUGGAAUUUGCAUGCUCCUUCUCUUUUUUCUCUCAUUUUUUCUUUCUUUCUCUUNNNNNUUCUCUUUUUUUGUGGUGGGAUCAUUUGGCCUCCCCCAUUUUUCAUUUUUCGUUCGGAGUCUCAUCCCGACUUGUGGGGAAAUCAUAGUCUCCAUCAUCCUUUCCUCACUGGGAAAAUUCUCUAAUAAUGAUGAUAAUCACGCUUUUAUUUACUUACAACUCGAUACCUAAAACAAAGUAUGACUCUAUAUGAAUGCCUCUAGCAGUGUACCAAGAUGUGCAGUGAUCUAGCGUAGCAAAAUAUUAUAAAAAAUGAACAAGCCAUGUAAAUAUCAUGCUAGCUAUCUUAUGAUCAUGCAAAGCAAUGUGAUAGUGGAAGUACAAGUCAUAUGAAGUGACGGCAGAGGUUGCAUGGCAAUAUAUCUAGGAAUGGCUAUGGAAAUGCCAUAAUAGGUAGGUAUGGUGGCUGUUUUGAGGAAGAUAUAAUAAGGCUUAUGUGUGAUAGAGCGUAUCAUAUCACGGGGUUUGGAUGCACCUGCGAAGUUUGCACCGACUCUCGAGGUGAGAAAGGGCAAUGCAUGGUACGGUAGAGGCUAGCAAAUUGCGGAAAGGUAAGAGUGUGUAUAUCCAUGGAUUUACAUUAGUAACAAAGAACUCACAUACUUAUUGCAAUAUUUUAUUAGCUCACUCGAAGCAAAGCACUACUCGCAUGCCCCUAGGGGGAAGGUUGGGAGGAGUUAACCAUCGCGUGACUCCGAUUAUAACAGCACAAAGCAUUUCAAUCAAGGAUAAAUUAUGCUCCAACUCCAUCGCGUAACCAGAGAUUAUAUGUGCAUGCUUCAGGAAUCACAAACCUUAACAUCAAUAUUCGUACUAAUCCAUCAUCAUCAACUAGUGCACCCACAUAUUUCUAUCAUAAUGUCGCAAAACUAUUACCAGGAAUCAAAAACAUCAUACUCAGUGCUCUACAAGUUUUAUGUAGGAUUAAUGCCUAACCAAGUAAAUGACCAAUUCCUUUUGACUCUCUAAAUAGAUAUAAGUGAAGCAUGAGAGUUUAGUUAUUUCUACAAAAGACCACGCUCUAAUAAAUAUAAGUGAAGCAGAAGAGCAUUCUACAAAUAACGGUUUUCUAUAUAUAGAGAAACACGCAAUCCAAACAUCAAAUGAGAUAAGUGAAGCACAUGAAGCAUUCUAUAAGACCAUACUCAAAAUAUAUAAGUGAAGUGCAAUGAGCAUACUAUAAAUCAACAAUGGACUAUCUCAUACCAGCAUGGUGCAUAAAAUACAAGUGAAAACUAAACACAAAAGUUGCUCCAACAUUUACGCAUAUCGCAUGAACAAAACAAAGCCGAAAACAUACCGAUAUUGUUGCAGUACGAUGGGAUGCCUUCCGGGGAAUACCCAACCUUAGACGCUUGAGUCUCCUUGGAUAUUUACUUGGGGUGACUUGGGAAUUACCAAUCUUGAACUCUUGCCUCUCCUCCAUCUCCUCAUAUAGAGACCUCCUCGAACUUCGAACACUUGAUCCACACAAAACUUAACAGAAAACUAAUGAGAUCCAUUAGUAUAAUAAUGCAAAUUACUACCUUAAGUAGUGUUUAAAACCCAUUAAUAUUUUGUUUUUCUAUUAUAGCUACUAUAAUAUAACUUCCCCCUCGCUUCUACCAUUGAUACAAUCGAUAGUCUCAUCAAAACAAGCAAAAUAAUGCAUCAAAAACAGAAUUUGUCAAAAAUAGGACAGGCUGUAGUAAUCUUAACAUUGACAUAUACUUCAGUAACUUCAAAACUUAUGAAAACUUAGGACGAAAUAGGAAAUUUCCAUAGCAUUACUGUUUAUUUUUUUAGGAACUUUCGACAGUCGAGUAAAAAAUGUAAAUUCAUGCACUACAGCCAAAGUUUCUGUUUUUACACCGCACAUACCAACAAGCAAUCUAAUCAUCCUAAAUGCAAAUCUUGUCACAUUAUUUUUAUAAUACAAUGGACUUUUACAAGGAAAUAAUUAUUUUUGUAGAAAAUUUUAUGUAAUCAAGAUUCAUAAUAUAUCCAUGGGCAUGAACAAAGUUCAAGUCUAGCACCCACAUCAACGAUGCUCGUCCUUCUCACUUUCACUUUUCUUUUUGAAAAGUUUUAAGUUCCCCACUUUAUUUCCCCCCCCCCCCCCCCUGUUUUUAAAUAUUUCAAAAGAACAAAACAUAAAUAAAUGGCUCUCUAAAACCUUCGGGUUGUCUCCCUAGCAGCUCUUUCUUUAAAUCCAUUAAGCUAGGCAUAAAAUGCUCAAGUAAUCGGUCCACCAGGAUCCCAAGGUAUAUCAAAGCUAAUUUUAAUUAACAAUGAUUUGUAAUUUAGUAGCGAGCACAAAGCAAUAUAUAUCAUGCAAUGAUGAAGUCUAACUCUCUUCCUAUGCAUCGACAUGUCAUAAAAGAACAAUUCAUGCACAUCAGGUAAAGGCCAAUACAUACCAUAAGCAGUUUCUUGCAAUUUUCUCAUGUUGGAAACAUAAGGGGGUGGAGAUGUAGUUCCUCUAUCAUAACAAUUGCAAGUAUGAGCAGCAAGCACAUGAAUAUUAUAUCCAUCAAAAUCAUCAUGUGAAGUGGUAAAACGCAACCCAUCAAUAUAAUCCUUAAUAAGUGCAAACUUCUCUUAUAUAGUGUAGUUGGUAGAAUUCAAAAAUAUAAAGGACUAUCAUGUGUGGGUGCAAUAUUAAAAAUUGCAUGCCUAACAUAAGGAACUACAACAGAUUCAUCUUCAUAGAAGGGCCGGUCCUGAGAUCUCGGGGGCUCGGGGAAAACUUUAACCUGGGGCCUAUAAUAUAAAUACCAAUAAUAAUAAUCGAUGUAUGCCCCCCCCCCCCCAUAUAUAUAAUGUUACCAAGAAACACUUAAAAUGUUCUGAAACAGUUCCAUAUAAGAUAACUUACCAAUACUACCUUAAUAAAAAAACUAAUUUUUUUUGAAUACGUACUUGGAUGACCUAAAUGUGAUAAAUUUUAAAAAUAUAUUGAUUAAUUCAAAACUAGUGUGGACUUACAAAGGUACGUACUAGAAAAACUCAAUUAAAUCUUAGUGAUUAUGAAGUUCAACUCAUAAAGAACACAUCUCUGAUAUAUACUUAUCCGUAAAAAUAUCCAAUCAAUCCAUUAUGAAUGACUCUAUGUAAACAUAUAGAAUUCAAAUAUAUAAGAUGUUACUGAUAAACAUUUAAAUCAACCCAAAAAAUAUUUUCAAAUGAAAUAAUGUAUACAUACAAUGCAGAAAAAAUGGCAUCAAAAGUUAAACGGCGAAAUAUAUGCAUCAUACGAAGGUCAAUUACUUACUUAGCCAUGUACAUAUAGGUGCGUCGGAUGGGUCAUAUUCUUGUUGGUGAUCGCCUUUUUUUAUGAGGGACUUGUAGGUGAUCUCCUGACUAAGCGCUCAGCCAUGACUCAAUGUAGAGUGGCGUGUGUGUCAAUGCGUGUUUGCUCGACGAUGAGGCCAUGAGGAGGUAUGGACAGCCACGUGGAGUGGAGAUCGGAGAGCGACGCUUGUGAAAUGACAACCGCCGAACAGACAUGAAUAGGGCAUGAUGGCGUCACAAAGAGAUGAACUCGUGCUUUGAUCUGAGAUGUAAAUUAGGAAACCAAAACAGAGAUUUGUGCGUACGAGGCUAUAACUGUGAGAUAGCGGACGAGGAGUCAUGGAACUGCGUGACAGCCUAACGAUUAAAUGAGCCGCUGCGUGCCCAACUCAUGGGCAAUGUGUAGUUUCGACGGGCUGGCUGGGCUGCCAUAGGUGUGUGUAUGGGUUGCCUACUUACCCAGGUGGGGGCCCUGAAUUUUGGGGGCCUGGGGCGGCCACCCCCUGCCCCCCCUCAAAGCCGGCCCUAUUUCAUAAGCAUAAUUCAUAUUGGCAUCAUGGCCACAAUCAUAGAAAGCAUCAAGUUCAUUAAAAAGGGAUAUUUCAAAUGAAUCCAAGGGAUCAUAGCAAUCAUCAUAGCAUUCUUCCUUUGGUAUGUGAAAGGGAAAUUAAACAAUGUAUGAGUUGAAAAGUUACUUUUAUUAUAAGGUAGGCACGGGUAGCUAAUCCGCUCUUCCUCGUUUUGUUCUUGAAUCUCCUCAUCAUCUUUUUCAUCCACUGAGCUCACAGUAUCAUCAAUUUCUUCUUCCAUAGACUCCUAGAAAAUAUUAGUCUCUUCCAAGGCAUCCAUCUUUUUUUCAAUAAAUUCAUUAAUAUCAGCAUUGUAUUCAUAAUUAUUGUAGCAAUAUUGAAGUAUGGAAAAAAAUUAGAUUUGUAAGGAACAUCAUCAUACUUUUCAAGAAAAGAAGCAAUUUCAUAAGCACCUUUAAAAGCAACAACAUUGAGCUAGUCUUAGAGGCGAGAUUGAUACGUCUCCAUCGUAUCUAUAAUUUUUGAUUGUUUCAGGCCAAUAUUCUACAACUUUCAUAUACUUUUGGCAACUUUUUAUACUAUUUUUGGGACUAACAUACUGAUCCAGUGCCCAGUACAGUUCCUGUUUGUUGCAUGUUUUUGUUUCGUAGAAACUCCAUAUCAAGCAAAGUCCAAACGAGAUAAAAACUUACGGAGAUUUUUUGGAAUAUUUGUGAAUUUUGGGAAGUGCAAUCAACAAAAGGCGGUGCCCAAGGGGGCCACAAGCCAUAGGGGCACGACCUGGGUGGUAGGUUGCGUCGGGCAGGCUUGUGUCCACCCCGUAAGGCAGUUUGUGCCCUUCUAUCAUCGCAAGAAAGCUAAUUUCCAAAUAAAUAUCGUGUUAAAAUUUCAUCCCAAUCGGAGUUAUGGAUCUCCGGGAAUAUAAGAAACGGUGGAAGGACAAAAUCUGGCAACGCAGAAAUAGAAAGAGACACACACACACACACACACACACACACNNNNNNNNNNNNNNNNNNNNNNNNNNNNNNNNNNNNNNNNNNNNNNNNNNNNNNNNNNNNNNNNNNNNNNNNNNNNNNNNNNNNNNNNNNNNNNNNNNNNUUAUUAUCCAUGCUAUAAUUGUAUUGAAUGAAGACUCAUUUACAUGUGUGGAUACAUAGACAAAACACCGUCCCUAGCAAGCCUCUAGUUGGCUAGCCAGUUGAUCAAAGAUAGUCAGUGUAUUCUGAUUAUGAACAAGGUGUUGUUGCUUGAUAACUGGAUCACGUCAUUAGGAGAAUCACGUGAUGGACUAGACCCAAACUAAUAGACGUAGCAUGUUGAUCGUGUCAUUUUGUUGCUACUGUUUUCUGCAUGUCAAGUAUUUAUUCCUAUGACCAUGAGAUCAUAUAACUCACUGACACCGGAGGAAUGCUUUGUGUGUAUCAAACGUCGCAACAUAACUGGGUGACUAUAAAGAUGCUCUACAGGUAUCUCCGAAGGUGUUAGUUGAGUUAGUAUGGAUCAAGACUGGGAUUUGUCACUCCGUGUGACGGAGAGGUAUCUCAGGGCCCACUCGGUAAUACAACAUCACACACAAGCCUUGCAAGCAAUGUGACUUAGUGUAAGUUGCGGGAUCUUGUAUUACGGAACGAGUAAAGAGACUUGCCGGUAAACGAGAUUGAAAUAGGUAUGCGGAUACUGACGAUCGAAUCUCGGGCAAGUAACAUACCGAAGGACAAAGGGAAUGACAUACGGGAUUAUAUGAAUCCUUGGCACUGAGGUUCAAACGAUAAGAUCUUCGUAGAAUAUGUAGGAUCCAAUAUGGGCAUCCAGGUCCCGCUAUUGGAUAUUGACCGAGGAGUCUCUCGGGUCAUGUCUACAUAGUUCUUGAACCCGCAGGGUCUGCACACUUAAGGUUCAACGUUGUUUUAUGCGUAUUUGAGUUAUAUGGUUGGUUACCGAAUGUUGUUCGGAGACCCGGAUGAGAUCACGGAUGUCACGAGGGUUUCCGGAAUGGUCCGGAAAUGAAGAUUGAUAUAUAGGAUGACCUCAUUUGAUUACCGGAAGGUUUUCGGAGUUACCGGGAAUGUACCGGGAAUGACGAAUGGGUUCCGGGAUUUCACCGGGGGGGCAACCCACCCCGGGGAAGCCCAUAGGCCUUGAGGGUGGCACACCAGCCCUCAAGGUUGAUGCAAUUGCCGUCGGCACAGUUUCACUUCAGUUACCAUCAGGAUUAGUGAUGAACUUAAAUCAUUGUUAUUUAGUGCCUGCGUUGAGCAUGAACAUUAUAUCUGGAUCUUAUUUAUUGCGAGACGGUUACUCUUUUAAGUCAGAGAAUAAUGGUUGUUCUAUUUCUAUGAGUAACAUCUUUUAUGGUCAUGCACCUAAUGUGAGAGGAUUUUUCAUAUUGAAUCUUGAUAGCGAUACACAUAUACAUAACAUUGAGACCAAAAGAGUUAGAGUUAACAAUGAUAGCGCCAUAUUUUUGUGGCACUGCCGCUUAUGUCAUAUUGGGGUAAAGCGCAUGAAGAAACUCCAUGCUGAUGGACUUUUGGAGUCACUUGACUUUGAUUCACUUGACACGUGCGAACCAUGCCUCAUGGGCAAGAUGACUAAGACUCCGUUCUCCGGAACAAUGGAGCGUGCAAGUGACUUGUUGGAAAUCAUACAUACCGAUGUGUGUGGUCCGAUGAGCGUGGAGGCACGCGGCGGAUAUCGUUAUUUUCUCACCUUCACUAACGAUUUGAGUAGAUAUGGUUAUGUCUACUUGAUGAAGCACAAGUCUGAAACAUUUGAAAAGUUCAAGCAAUUUCAGUGUGAAGUUGAAAAUCAUCGUAACAAGAAGAUCAAGUUCCUACAGUCUGAUCGUGGGGGUGAAUAUCUGAGUUUCGAGUUUGGUGCGUACUUAAGACAAUGUGGAAUUGUUUCACAGUUAACACCGCCUGGAACACCACAGCGUAAUGGUGUGUCCGAACGUCGUAAUCGUACUUUAUUAGAGAUGGUGCGAUCUAUGAUGUCUCUUACCGAUUUGCCGUUAUCGUUUUGGGGUUAUGCAUUAGAAACAGCUGCAUUCACUUUAAAUAGGGCACCAUCAAAAUCCAUUGAGACGACACCAUACGAACUGUGGUAUGGCAAAGGGCCAAAGUUGUCGUUUCUUAAAGUUUGGGGAUGUGACGCUUAUGUCAAAGAGCUUCAGCCUGAAAAGCUGGAACCCAAAGCGGAAAAGUGCGUCUUCAUAGGUUACCCAAAAGAGACAGUUGGGUACACCUUCUAUCUCAAAUCCGAGGGCAAAGUGUUUGUUGCUAAAAACAGAGCUUUUCUCGAGAAGGAGUUUCUCUCGAGAGAAUUGAGUGGGAGGAAGAUAGAACUUGACGAGGUUUUCGAACCUCUCAUCCCUCUGGAUGGUGGCGCGGGACAAGGGGAAACCUCUGUCGUUGCGACGCCGGUUGAGGAGGAAGUUAAUGAUGAUGAUCAUGAAACUCCGGUUCAAGUUUCUGUCGAACCACGCAGGUCGACGAGACCACGUGCUGCUCCAGAGUGGUACGGUAAUCCCGUCUUGUCGAUCAUGUUGUUGGACAACAAUGAACCUGCAAAUUAUGAAGAAGCAAUGGUGGGCCCGGAUUCCAACAAAUGGCUAGAAGCCAUGAAGUCCGAGAUAGGAUCCAUGUAUGAGAACAAAGUGUGGACUUUGGAGGUACUACCUGAGGGCCGCAAGGCUAUUCAGAACAAAUGGAUUUUUAAGAGGAAGACGGACGCUGACGACAAUGUGACCGUUUAUAAAGCUCGACUUGUGGCAAAGGGUUUUUCACAAGUUCAAGGAGUUGACUACGAUGAGACAUUCUCACCCGUAGCGAUGCUUAAGUCCGUCAGAAUCAUGUUAGCAAUAGCUGCAUUUUUUGAUUAUGAAAUCUGGCAGAUGGAUGUCAAAAUGGCGUUCCUUAACGGUUUCCUUAAGGAAGAGUUGUAUAUGAUACAACCCGAAGGUUUUGUCGAUCCUAAGAAUGCUAACAAGGUGUGCAAGCUCCAGCGAUCCAUUUAUGGACUGGUGCAAGCAUCUCGGAGUUGGAACAAACGUUUUGAUGAGGUGAUCAAAGCAUUUGGGUUUAUACAAGUGGUUGGAGAAUCUUGUAUUUACAAGAAAGUGAGUGGGAGCUCUGUGGCAUUUCUAAUAUUAUAUGUGGAUGACAUAUUGCUGAUUGGAAACAACGUGGAGUUUUUAGAGAGCAUAAAGGAUUACUUGAAUAAGAGUUUCUCUAUGAAGGACCUAGGAGAAGCUGCUUACAUUCUAGGCAUUAAGAUCUAUAGGGAUAGAUCAAAACGCCUGAUAGGACUUUCACAAAGCACAUACCUUGAUAAAGUUUUGAAGAGGUUCAAAAUGGAACAGUCCAAGAAAGGGUUCUUGCCAGUUUUACAAGGUACGAGAUUGAGUAAGACUCAGUGCCCAGCAACUGAUGAAGAUAGAGAGCAUAUGCGCUCCGUCCCCUAUGCUUCAGCCAUAGGUUCUAUCAUGUAUGCAAUGCUGUGCACUAGAUCGGAUGUUAGCCUGGCCAUAAGUAUGGCAGGUAGGUUCCAGAGUAAUCCAGGAGUGGAUCACUGGACAACGGUCAAGAAUAUCCUGAAGUACCUGAAAAGGACUAAGGAGAUGUUUCUCGUGUAUGGAGGUGACGAAGAGCUCGCCGUAAAAGGUUACGUCGAUGCAAGCUUUGACACAGAUCCGGACGACUCUAAGUCGCAAACCGGAUACGUAUUUAUUCUUAAUGGGGGUGCGGUAAGCUGGUGCAGUUCCAAGCAAAGCGUCGUAGCAAAUUCUACAUGUGAAGCGGAGUACAUGGCUGCCUCGGAGGCAGCUAAGGAGGGUGUCUGGAUGAAGCAGUUCAUGACGGAUCUUGGAGUGGUGCCAAGCGCACUGAAUCCAAUAACCUUGUUCUGUGACAACACGGGUGCCAUUGCCUUAGCAAAGGAACCACGGUUUCACAAGAAGACCAGACACAUCAAACGACGCUUCAACCUCAUCCGCGACUACGUCGAGGGAGAGGACGUAAAUAUAUGCAAAGUGCACACGGAUCUGAAUGUAGCAGACCCGCUGACUAAACCUCUUCCACGGCCAAAGUAUGAUCAACACCAGAACUGUAUGGGUGUUAGAUUUAUUACAAUGUAAUUCACAUGAUGAUGUGAGGGCUAGAUUAUUGACUCUAGUGAAAGUGGGAGACUGUUGGAAUUAUGCCCUAGAGGCAAUAAUAAAUAUAGUUAUUAUUAUAAUUCCUGUAUCAAGAUAAUCGUUUAUUAUCCAUGCUAUAAUUGUAUUGAAUGAAGACUCAUUUACAUGUGUGGAUACAUAGACAAAACACCGUCCCUAGCAAGCCUCUAGUUGGCUAGCCAGUUGAUCAAAGAUAGUCAGUGUUUUCUGAUUAUGAACAAGGUGUUGUUGCUUGAUAACUGGAUCACGUCAUUAGGAGAAUCACGUGAUGGACUAGACCCAAACUAAUAGACGUCGCAUGUUGAUCGUGUCAUUUUGUUGCUACUGUUUUCUGCAUGUCAAGUANNNNNNNNNNNNNNNNNNNNNNNNNNNNNNNNNNNNNNNNNNNNNNNNNNNNNNNNNNNNNNNNNNNNNNNNNNNNNNNNNNNNNNNNNNNNNNNNNNNNGUCGCUUGAUAAUGGGAUCACAUCAUUAGGAGAAUCAUGUGAUGGACUAGGCCCAAACUAUGAACGUAGCAUGUGAUCAUGUCAUUUUGUUGCUAUUGUUUUCUGCGUGUCAAGUAUUCAUUCCCCCCAUGAGAUCAUGUAACUCACUGUCACCGGAGGAAUACCUUGUGUGUAUCAAACGUCACAACAUUACUGGGUGACUAUAAAUGUGCUCUAUAGGUAUCUCCGAAGGUGUCCGUUGAGUUAGCAUGGAUCAAGACUGGGAUUUGUCACUCCGUGUGACAGAGAGGUAUCUUGGGGCCCACUCGGUAAUACAACAUCACAUACAAGCCUUGCAAGCAAUGUGACUCAAGUGUGAGUCACUAGAUCUUGUAUUACAGAAUGAGUAAAGAGAUUUCCCGGUAACGAGAUUGAAAUAGGUAUAGGGAUACCGACGACCAAAUCUCGGGCAAGUAACAUACCGAAGGAGAAAGGGAAUGUUAUACGGGAUUAUAUGAAUCCUUGGCACAGAGGUUCAACCAAUAAGAUCUUCAUAGAAUAUGUAGGAUCCAAUAUGGGCAUCUAGGUCCCCCUAUUGGAUACUGACUGAAGAGUGUCUUGAUUCAUGUCUACAUAGUUCUCGAACCCGCAGGUUGUGCACACUUAAGGUUCGAUGAUGUUUUAGUAUAGUUGAGUUAUAUGUGUUGGUGAUCGAAGGUUGUUCAGAGUCCCGGAUGAGAUCACAGACUUCACGAGGGUUUCCAUAAUGGUUCAAAAAACAAAGAUUGGUAUAUAGGAAGUUGGUUUUUGGAUUCCGGAAAGUUUUCGGGCAUUGCCGACAGUGUACCGGGAGUGACGAAUGGGUUCUGGGGGCCCACUGGGUGGGCCCACCACGUCCAAGGGGUCCACGUGGGUUUAUUGGAUGUACAAUAAGGUAUAAUGGGCUGACAAAGUCAUCCAAGGAAAGCCCAUGAAGAAAAAGUGGAAAAUCCAAAAGAGGUGGGAAAAUAAGGAAGGAGUCCUAAUCCAAGUGGGAUUGGAGAAGGACUCCUCCCUCCCACUUCGGCCGGCCCAAGGAGGGUUUCCUUGGUGCGCCAAGGCUUCCCAAGGCUGCCUCUCCCCUCCUCCUAUAUAUACUAGAGGUUUAGGGCUUUUGAGACAUAACUUUGCCAUGUGCAACUCAAACCUAUAUCUCGUAGUUCUUCCUCUAGAUUAGAUUUCUACGGAGCUCGGGCGGAGCCCUGCAGGAAUAGAGCAUCACCAACACCGGCGCACCGUCAUGCUCCCGGAGAAAUCAUCUACUUCUCUGUCUCUCUUGCUGGAUCAACAAGGCCAAGAUCGUCAUCGAGCUGUACGUGUGUUGAACACGGAGGUGUCGUCCGUUCUGCGCUAGGUCGGAACGGAUCAUGGGACGGAUCAUGGGACGAUGGUGAUUUGAAUCACGAAGUUGUACCACUAGAUCAACCGUGUUUCUUAAUGCUUCUCGCUUAGCGAUCUACAAGGGUAUGUGGAUCUAAUCUCCUCUCGUAGAUGAACAUCACCAUGAUAGGUCUUCGUGUGCGUAGGAAAAAAUUUGUUUGCCAUGCAAUGUUCCUCAACAGUGGCAUCAUGAGCUAGGUUCAUGCAUAGAUGUUAUCUCGAGUAGAACACAGAAGGAUUUGUGGAAGUUGAUGUUCGAUUUUCUUCCCUCCUUAGUAUUUUCUCGAUUCGGCGGUAUUGUUGGAUUGAAGAGGCCCAGACCGACAUUACUCGUACGCUUACGAGAGACUGGUUUCAUCAACUGACAUGCAACUCGGUGCAUAAAGAUGACUGGCGGGUGUCGGUUUCUUCAACUUUAUUUGAAUUGGUUUUGACCGAGGCGGUCCUUGGAGAGAGGUUAAAUAGCACUUUGCACAUCUCCGUUGUGGUUUUCCGUAAGUAAGAUGCGAUCAUACUAGAUACCCAUAGCAGCCACGUAAAACACGCAACAACAAAUUAGAGGACGUCUAACUUGUUUUUGCAGGGUAUGCUUGUGAUAUGAUAUGGCCAAUGACGUGAUGUGAUAUAUUGGAUGUAUGAGAUGAUCAUGUUCUAAUAGUUAAUAUCGACUUGCACAUCGAUGCUACGGCAACCGGCAGGAGCCAUAGGGUUGUCUUUAAACGAACGUUCGUGUUUGCACAUGCGUUUACUAUAUUUCUAGGUCGUAGCUUUAGUAGUAAUAACAUAGAUAGCACGACAAGCUCGAUGGCGGCACGAUGAUGGAGACUUGAUGAUGGAGAUCAUGGUGUGGUGCAGGUGACAAGAAGAUCAUGCCGGUGCUUUGGUGAUGGAGUUCAAGAAGCACAAGAUGAUGGCCAUAUCAUGUCACUUAUGAAUUGCAUGUGAUGUUAAUCCUUUUAUGCACCUUAUUUUGCUUAGAACGACGGUAACAUUAUAAGGUGAUCUCUCACUAAAAUUUCAAGAUGAAAUUGUGUUCUUCCCAACUAUGCACCAUUGCGACAGUUCGUCGUUUCGAGACACCACAUGAUGAUCGGGUGUGAUAGACUCAACGUUCACAUACAACGGGUGCAAAACAGUUGCACACGUAGAACACUCGGGUUAAACUUGACGAGCCUAGCAUGUGCAGACAUGGCCUUGGAACACAAGAGACCGAAAGGUCGAGCAUGAAUCGUAUAGUUGAUAUGAUUAGCAUAGAGAUGCUUACCACUGAAACUAUUCUCAACUCACGUGAUGAUCGGACUUGAGUUAGUGGAUUUGGAUCAUGUACCACUCAAAUGACUAGAGAGAUGUACUUUUUCAGUGGGAGUUCUUAUGUAAUAUGAUUAAUUGAACUAAUUAUCAUGAACAUAGUCAAAAGGUCUUUGUGAAUUAUGAUAUAGCUUGCGCUAUAGCUCUACUGUUUUUUAUAUGUUCCAAGAGGAAAUUUAGUUGAAAGAUGAUAGUAGCAACUUUGUGGACUGAGUCCGUAAAACUAAGGAUUGUCCUCAUUGCUGCGUGGAAGGCUUAUGUCCUUAAUGCACCACUCGGUGUGCUGCACCUCGAGCGUCGUCUGUGGAUGUUGCAAACAUCUGACAUACGUGUUUUUGAUGACUACAUGAUAGUUCAGUGCGUAAUACGUAAUGGCUUAGAAGCAAGGCGUCGAAGACGUUUUGAAACGUCACGGAACAUAAGAGAUGUUCUAAGAGAUGAAAUUUUGAGUUCAUGCUCAUUCCCUUGUUGAGAGGUAUGGGACCUCCGACAAGAUUCUUUAUCUACAAACUAAAGGAGAAAAGCUCAAUCGUUGGGCAUGUGCUCAGAUUGUGUGAGUACAACAAUCACUUGAAUCAAGUGGGAGUUAAUCUUCGAGAUGAGAUAGUGAUGGUUCUCCAAAGUCACUACCACCAAGCUGCUAGAGCUUCAUGAUGAACUAUAAGAUAUCAAGGACAGAUAUGAUGAUCCUUGAGCGAUUCGGAAUGUUUGACACUGUGAAAGUAGAAAUCAAGAAGGAGCAUCAAUUGUUCGUGGUUAGUAAAACCACUAGUUUCGAGAAGGGCAAGGGCUAACAUGGAUACUUCAUGAAACGGCAAACUAGUUGAUGCUCUAGAAACCCAAGACUGAACCGAAACCCAAGACCAAGUGCUUCUAUUAUGAGGGGAACAGUCACUGAGGCGGAGCUACCCUAGAUACUGGGUAGAUAAGAAGGUUGGCAAAGUCGAGAGAAGUAUAUUUGAUAUACAUGAUAUUGAUGUGUACUUUACUAGUACUCAUAUUAGCACGAGGGUAUUAGAUACCGAUUUAAUUGCUAAGUGAUUAGUAAAUCGAAAUGAAAGAUAUGGAAUAAACGAAGACUAGCUAAAGGCGAGGUGAUGAUACGUGUUGGAAGUGUUUCCAAGGUUGAUGUGAUCAGAACAUCGCACGCUCCCUCUAUCAUNNNNNNNNNNNNNNNNNNNNNNNNNNNNNNNNNNNNNNNNNNNNNNNNNNNNNNNNNNNNNNNNNNNNNNNNNNNNNNNNNNNNNNNNNNNNNNNNNNNNAAACUUUUCACUGCCGUCCGAUUCCACGUGGUUAUGCUCUUGUGAUGGUGGAUGAAGUAAAUAAGGAUUUUGAGCAGCUCGAGCUUGACCACCCUACAUGUGAAGCUGAGAAUAAUAAGUUGGUUCAUGCAUUGAGGAGUACAUGUCUAUGGCCGAAGGAGUACAUCAAUCUUNNNNNNNNNNUCCUCCUCCUCCUCUGGUGAGUGAUCAGGGCACUCCUCAUCCUCCUCCGGCAACUGAUCAGGGAACUCCUCAUCCUCCUCCGGCGAAUGAUCAGGGCACUCCGGCUCCUCCGACGCGUGAGGGCACUCUGCCUUCUUCUUCGGCUCCUCCUCCGGCGCGUGAGGACACUCCGCCUCCUUCUUCGACUCCUCCUCCGACCCAUCGGAGCAGUCCGCCUCCUUCUUCGGCUCCCCCUCCGACGCGUUGGAGCACUCCUCCUCCUUCUUCGGCUCCUCCUCCAGCACGUCGGAGCAGUCCUCCUCCUUCGGCUCCUAAUCCUCCGGCGCGUCGGAGCACUCCGCCUCCUUCUUCGGCUCCUCCUCCGGUGCGUGGGAGCACUCCGCCUCCUUCUUCGGCUCCUCCUCCAGCNNNNNNNNNNNNNNNNNNNNNNNNNNNNNNNNNNNNNNNNNNNNNNNNNNNNNNNNNNNNNNNNNNNNNNNNNNNNNNNNNNNNNNNNNNNNNNNNNNNNAGCGCACAAGCGCAAGCUGGACCACGGGCUGGCUAUUUAAAGCCACACUUGGCUCACUCCUCCCCUGGACUCUCUCUCUUUCCCUCCCCAAAUAUGUCGUCUGGACCACGAGAGCCACCCGAGCUCGAGAUCAAGCUUGAGCUCCACCAUGAGGAAUCGUCGUUGAUUCACUCGGUAGGGCCCUUCCUCGUUGUCAUUUUCCCAAGAUUUGGAGCCACCUCAACCCUGAUCCUUUCCCCCCUCUUCCCCAUGCAUUUUGCAGUCGGAGACAAUGUCGAUGACCUCCUCCUGAAGCAUCUCUACCGUGCUUCCUCCGCCGGCGACCCAGGCCUCCUCGAUGACUUCCUCCACCUCCACAAAGACGACGGAUCUCCCCUGGUUCCAUUUCCUUCAUCGGCCCACUCCGUCGUGCCCUCCCUUGCCGUCGGUGAGUUGUGCCCCCCUGUUCGCAGGGUUAAAGAUGACAGGCAGGGCCCAUGUGUCAUCCUCCCCUCUCGCCCGCUCCCUCUCUCUCUCACUCGCACCGGGGGGAACUUGUUGGGUUUGAACCCAGGCAGGCACGUGCCUGGCUCGGCCUGGCCGGCUUAGCUAGCUGGGCCUGGCUCGGCUAGCUAAUUAGGCUUGAGGGGCACAGUGUUGUUUCCUUUUUAUUUUUCUGGCAUUAUUUCCAAAAAUUCCCGUGGUUCAAAUAAUUGUCCAAAUUCAAAAAUUCCACCUCCUAAAUUCCUGUAAAAUCCUAAGAUAUUUAAUGAUGCCACUUGUGCAAUUUUUGCAAAAAGUUCUAUACACUGUAUUUAUUUAAAACACUAUUUUAAGCAUUUGUAACCUUUGUUAAAAUAAUUUUUAUUACUUUUUACACCCCAAACCAGAAACUAAUAACUUUUUUACAAAACUAAUAUCCAGCCUAAUAUUUUACAAAAAUGGCUUGGUCUUAUUUUUUCCUGUUAUUAUCAUGAUGAUAGAUUGUCUUGUUGAUGAAGGAGUUGGACAAUAAGACUUUGAAGACCCUAGAGACUAUGUUGAGCCAGGCAAGAAGCGUUAUGACCAUGGCUAUGUAACCCUUUUAUGCAUCUCAUAUGUAACUUUAUUUUGUUGCAUCUGAAUCAUGUUCAAUCAGUGACCUCCUUGGUGGGUUGUCUCCGAUAUUUCCUCGUUGAUACUUGUACUAAGCAUGACCCUACCAUCCUAUGAGGAUUGUCCGGAUGUGAAGUAGUUAUGUUGCUAUGUAGUUGCUACACAAAUAGGAUGGGAUUAUGCAUGGUGUUGGAAACAACGGUGUUUUCAAAGACUUUUUGAAAACCCCGUCGGGUGCCACUAAUUGUGGGUUAUAUGUAUUGUGAAUAGAGCCGUGGGCCAUAGUUUUCGCUAAUGUCAUCUGUCGGAUAUCGGGCUCCGAAGAACCCUAAAGAUUCGAACUCAGGUGCGUGUACGAAGAUCUCUCAUAGGCUCGCAUCACCUAACUCGCUACUCGCUGGGGAUGGCAGAGAACUCACUCGAUGGUGAGGAAACACAAAACACGACAAUUUACCCAGGUUCGGGCCGCUGAGAAGCGUAAUACCCUACUCCUGCUUUGGUGGAUUGCCUAUAAUGGAGGUUGGUGGAUGAACUGGUACAGUGUUCGAGGGCCUCCGGAGGCUGGGUGGCCUUUUUGUGGUGCAGGUGGGCGAAAUGAAUGGAUCCCCCCUCUCUAUGAAGUAACCUACUCUCUCUAUAUAUAGUGGCGGCCCGGUCAUCUUCCCUUAUCGUUUCGGCGGGAAGGGAUCCCAUAAUGGCCAAUUUUCAAGGGGCACAAGGGAACAUGCUUCCCCUGUCCAAAAGUAGUCUUCUCCUGUAAAGUGGCUACCAGCACUGUAGGGACGGGUCCAGGGAUAACGUUUGUCCUGCUGGCGGGCGGCGAUGGCCUUGUUGCAUCGGAAAGGAAACCUUUGGAAGAUGCCUUGGGAACCCCGGUUCGUCCUUGCCCCCUUUGCACGAAAGGGAAACUGCUCCGUCCUACUGUCUACUGCUCUCCUGUCCUUCCUCCGCGUCAUCCUUGACUCCUCAGGGUAUCGCCUUAGAGUAUCUGUCGCUCCGGAGGGAUCCUGAUGAGGCCCCUGUGGGUCUUGAUGAUGUUCCUCCUCGCGAGGCUUGGCCCCUCACGGGGACCUUGCCUUGAGUGGUGUCGCGCCCGAUUAUGGGCCAGCCCUGGGCUGCAGGCAGGCAGGUCUAGGUACCCCCAUUCCUAGGACGCCGACAGUAUCCCCCGGGACCAAGGUGCGCCUGGGAUGGUUUCUCCGCGAACCCUUGAGGGCAGCCUGAACCGUCGCGGGUCCCAAAUUCCUUCGGGACAGGCGGCACACGUGUCCAGCUACCAUGCGGCGACGCUCUCACUCCCCAAGGGGUCUAGGGCGCAACAGACCACGAUGGCACGAUCUCCAAGAACCGCACCAACCAUCAUUGUUACUCAUUGAAUGGCAUUGACGCGGCCGGCCCUCGCCCAAUGGCCCUCUCGGACGUGACUGCUCGGUUGUCAGGUGAGGCGGCGUGGGCAGCAAUGUGCCUGUCGGCCCACCUCGCGGCACCUGACUUCGUAACAGCAGGCCUUCCCUUGCAACGGCACCAGAAGAAUGCUGCUAGCACUCUCCGGCAAUCGAAACUAGAAGAAUGUUAUUGACGGCCCACCAGCGCAUGGGAUCGUAGCAGUUUUCGAGGGUAGAGUAUACGACCCAAAUUUGUUGAUCGCCUAUAGGAGGUGAGAGGAUACUCUCAAGUAUUAGCAGCUGAAUAUGUCAGAUUCAACCACACCUGAAAGAUUAGUAUCUGCAAGCAAAGUAUCAGUAGCAAAGUAGUAUGAUAGCAACGGUGUCAGAAACGAUCUGUUGACACGGCAGACUAUUUCUAACGAUUGUAUCAAUGGUGCCAAGUUGUCGCGUUGACGGAAAUUGUCAGUUCCCGUCAACGACAAGUGAACCAAAAUUGUAGCAGGUAGCAUCAGUGUAACGAGUAAUAGCAGUGGCAAGGAACAGUAGUAGUGAUAGCAGUAGCAAGUAGCAACAGUAGCAAGCGACAGUAGUAGUGACAGUAGCCACAAAGCAAGACAAGUAACAGUAGUAGAGCAAGACAAGUAACAACAUCAGUAGGACAAACUCGUAGGCAAUGGGUCGGUGAUUUGUUUGGAUGAUAUUCAUCAUGCAACAAUUAUAACACGGAGAGAUAUGUGGAUAGCUCCCGAUCGUCAAUGUGAUGUAGGCAUGCAUUCCGUGUGUCGUCAUAUGUGCUUAGGGAAAAGAACUUGCAUGACAUCUAUUGUCCAUCCCUCCCGUGGCAGCGGGGUCCAAAAGGAAACUACGGGAUAUUAAGGUUCUCCUUUUAAUAAAGAACCGGACCAACGCAUUAGCACUUGGUGAACACAUGAACUCCUCAAACUAUGGUCAUCACCGGGAGUGGUUCCGGUUAUUGUCACUCCUNNNNNNNNNNNNNNNNNNNNNNNNNNNNNNNNNNNNNNNNNNNNNNNNNNNNNNNNNNNNNNNNNNNNNNNNNNNNNNNNNNNNNNNNNNNNNNNNNNNNACCGUCGUUAGGUUUGACGCACUUCACGAGAUGCGGCCCCGCCUCCCCCUACAACGAACGGAGCUCCAGGACGGCACCAGGGGUAGCAAGUGGCCUUAUGACAGGUAAGGCUCCUGAAUCGGUGCCGAGGAGCCCCCUUUGGUGCUCGAGCGAUUCCCCAUUUUGUCCUUUUGGUCAUCACCCCACGGCGCCCUGAGGCCUCCCGAGACUCUUUGUGGUGGUAUCGUGCUUCGAUCUGGGCCCCCGAGCGGGGGUCAAUCACUGAAAGUGUUUGCCCCUGGGACGGCAAGUCCUUGCUUCCACGCUCCUUGGCGCCUAGAGGUGGUGCAGAGCGUUCAGCUCCUCAGAAAAUUUCAUCUAGAAAAGGAGGCUUGAAAACCAGCGAAACGAGAAAGCGCAAGAGAAAAUUCUCCCCUUUUUGUUUUUCAAACAUCAACUUUUGAAAUCGACAAAUUUAAGUCCAGCACAGGAUUAUUCAAGCUCCAGGAAGAAGCAAGGAAACGCCGCANGGGGGGGGGGGGGGGGGCGUAUACAGCCGCAGCUCGUUAUUACGUGAGAAUGUCACGGGGGUGUAUCUGGGAGGUUGCGAGGACGCUUUGGCCUCGCUAGUGUCCCUACCCCCUAGGAAUAAGCANNNNNNNNNNNNNNNNNNNNNNNNNNNNNNNNNNNNNNNNNNNNNNNNNNNNNNNNNNNNNNNNNNNNNNNNNNNNNNNNNNNNNNNNNNNNNNNNNNNNACGAUUAUCUUGAUACAGGAAUUAUAAUAAUAACUAUAUUUAUUAUUGCCUCUAGGGCAUAAUUCCAACAACAACAUCCAAUGAUGGGCAAAAAUGAGAGUGAUCACAAGGUUUGAGCCUAUUUCAAGAAAGUUGGUAAUGUAAACAUAGAAAACUCUAAAAAUCAACAUAAUGAGGUUACUGUAGAUCUAUUUAAGCAAAUAUAUACCCCAAAUUGAAAACUUGGUGUAGCAUCAUUAUUUGGGGACAACAUAAGUCCUGCAAAGUUUGAGAGCAAUCGAAGAAACUUGACAAUGUAAAGUUGCCCAAAUUUGGUUCUGGACAGAGAGAGUUUUGAAAUAUUCUGGUGGACCAAACCAACUUGGAUUGAGGUGAAACUUGCCAAGAUCAUCACAUAUAUUAUGUGUGAUUUGACACAAUUUUCUGGAAUUAUUUGAGAAUAUCUCCUAUGAAAAUAUUCCAAAAGCUUAAAGUAGGAAGCAAGGGUUUUGAGGGGUUUUGUCCAAUAUUUUAAACAUGACCAUGGGUUGAAACUCUUAUAUAUGGAAACUAUAUUUCCACUGGGUUUUCCUAAAUUUUCUUAAAUAUUUUAAAAGCAUUAAAAUAAAUUUUCCCUAUAAAAGACCAUUUCUGGCCUCAGAUAAAGGUAUUUAAUUAAAAUAGGGAGAUAACUUUGAAAAUGAUAAUUUCGUUGUUUUGGGACGUCUUUCUGAUAAUAGGGUCCAAAUAAAUUAUUUAGGGCAAACCAUCUACCCUAAUUUGAGGACUUGUAGUACAAACCUGAAUUUAAGGGUUUUUGGAAACUUAAUUUAAAGAAAAGCUUUUGACCAAAAUAAUAGUUAAUAAAAAUAGUUCUUGGUCCCGUACACAUGAUAUGGCCAUUGGGCACGUAUUUGCAGCAAGAAGAUGAGUUUUCGUGGAGGGGAUUUUUUGUGAAUAAAACCCAAAUAGGCAAACAAGCAUAUAGCAACCAAUUCAAGCAUCACAUGUACAUAAAAGUUUUAAAUAGUUUCAAAUUUUAUGAAAUCAUCAUGUGACAAAGUGGUACAAACAUAGGAUGGGACAGCAACCUUCGAAGAGCAUCAUCUGCACGAACCCCACUCAUGGAGUCAUCGUUGCCCCCGGGUCCCACCACACGCGUCUUCGACUUCUCUCUCACUGUGAGAAACAAAUAUAGACACACUCCUUCGCAAACCGGACCGUCAAUAUUAGAAGGACAAGCUGCAACCCAGCUCCGCACACCAUCAUCAUCGUCGCCACAGAAGUCACAACGCCAACCGCCCACACUGCCGGUUGAGCAUCUACCGACCAUGAUGCCGUGCACAUCCAGCCUGCCGAAAAUGCAAAAGGGAGCAAGAUCUCGAAGACAGCGCUACGCAGAGACGCCGCCGCCGUCAGAUCCAACUGAAGGAUCUUGACUUUCACCUGAAGAUCUUGAUCCGAAAGGAGAGCUUGCAAAUAAGCUCCUUGAUGGCGUUUCCAAAAAAGAUUGUGACCGCCACGGACGGCGUCGCAGCCGGCCGGCGAAAAAACCAGCCAAGCUUUCGUUCGGAGCAGCAGGACCUUCACUCCCAUGCAGUUGACCAGCACCUCCGCUGACCCUUGCACUCCGGCACAGCAAUCACGCCAUUGCCACAGAGGAUCCACUUGAUAGAUCGAUGAGAAAGAAGAUUCUUUUACCUCUUUCCAGGAAACAGAUUAGCACUACGGUGACUAGAUGUAGCAAAAGGAGAUCCUUUCACACCAUGACUUCCGCGAAAUUUCUGCGUCGAUCCCUGUGCAUCUCCUCAAGGUUUUCUGAAACUAUGUAGAAGGCUCACUGAUCCAUCGAAUAUUCAGAUGGACUAGUAAGAGACAACAGAAUCGUAAGUUCAUAAACACAUAUAACAAUAUAGAAACAAUACAGACAUAUGAACUGAGAAUACAGCAGGAAGGAGCAGCUAACAGUUGCUUCAAAACACCAUAUAUAAUAUCGCAAACAGAACACAAUGACUAGAACAUUGGAAAAUAGGAGUAGGAGGCAGCGCUUAUUAUCACCCCAUCUUCUCUCGCUCCCACGGCGAGGAGUAUACGGUACUAGAUGGAAUGAAUCACCAUAGAUAGUCGAACCACACUUAAUUUAACACAGUACACGAAACAAAGCAAACGGGACGGGUCGAAGGGGCGCGCUUGCUUGCUUGCUUCCCUACACGAAUGCGGCGGCGGCCGCCGCGGCCCCAGCGGUGCGGAGGAUCUGGUAGUAGACCUGCGGGUUGGCCACAAACGCCGUGCGGGAAAUCAGGAAGCCGGCGGCACCAGGCGCCUUCAUCAUGGCGCCGGCGGCGGCUGGGGCGGCUGCAGCAGGCCAGAGAAAGUAGGCGCCCACGGCGCCCCCGAUGACCAUCGCCGCGGUCCCCACGGCACCGUCGCGCGUGGAGAGCUUUGCAGGCAGGUACGGUUUGGCCAACGAGAUGGUGGAGGCCAUGGCCGCUCCUGUAUGGUUCUUGACGUAGCCGAGACCGGUGACGAUGUCGCCUGUGCUCAUCUCGGUUAGCUUUGCGGGAAGGUACGGCUUGGCCAACGAGACUGUGGAGGCCAUGGCCGCUCCUGUAUGGUUCUUGACGUAGCCGAGACCCGCGACGAUGCCACCCGUGUUCAUCUCGGUUAGCUUUGAGGGGAGGUACGGCUUGGCCAGCGAGACGGUGGAGGCCACGGCGCUCGCCUGUUGCUUGACGAGGUCGAGACCGGAGAAGAGGAGGUCGCGGGUGCUCAUCUCGCCUGGUUUUCCUUUCCGAUUUGUGGUCGUUUGUGUGGACUUAUACCUCACUAAAUGGAUGAGACGACGCAAAGCGUGGAUUUAUAGCGACGAAGGUGAUCUAUACCUAGACAACGACGCGCGACGACCUUGACUACCAACAGUACUAUCGACAGCACUAACAUGUCACCAUAUGAAGAAGAAUCAAAAGAUUACAAAAGAGGCUAUAUAAAAAUCAUUCACCGCUGGUCCCUUUGUACCUACUCGGCUAAAGCACAGGAUGCCCAGGCGUGGUGCGGAAGGCAGUCACCUCGACCAACUCUACUUUCCAUGCCAUGAUAGACUGAUACACCCAUCUAAACAACCAAGUGUACGGAUUAUCUAUAAUUUAUUAAACCAACUCUACCGCACGACCCCAUUUCGUUCGUUCUUAGUUCGUUUAGAUUAAACGGACGAAUAGCUGAACCCGACGUGCAGUCCCAAAUGAACAAAUAUCUGAUUUUCGUCCAUUUUCAUUCUAUUCCGGGCCCAAACAUGCGUCGCGUUUGGAGUAAAACGGACAACGUGCGGACGGGCGGGACACGCGUCCUUGUCCUCCCCAUGGCCCGCCUGUCGGGACACUGGCACUUCAUUCAUUUCCAACGCCUCCAUCCGCCCUCCCCGCCCCACCUCGCCGUCGGAGCCGCCACUAUUUUUUCAGCCGCCUCCUCACUGCUCACCCCCCGGCCGUCCAUACCAAACCAAGUCUCGCCAUGGCCGCCACCACGCCCACGCUUUCGUAGGAAUUUUGGUCGUCUUUUGGAGAAGUUUUGGCCGUCGCCUUCGUAUCUGGUGCCAGAGGGGAUACGACCGCCGGGUGCUCUAUAGCGACCUGUAGCCGGCCGCCAAACGACCCUCCUGCAUCGAGGUGAUUUCCGCAGCCUAUUUGUCACCACGACCGCAAGGUUUCUAACACUUUGCCAACAAAGGUAUGGACAAUGGAGAUGAAUUUUUCUUCAACCACUUCUUUUGUUCAUCGGAUGAUGCGUCCUCGGAUGACGAAGAUCUUGUGGUGGUUGCACCGGUCGUUCACGACCACAUUGAAAGACAGCGGCCUCGCUACAGGCGGUCAGUCCUGGGCCGUGCUCCCAACCUGAACCACAUCAGAGAGAGAGAGGCGACGCCAUGCUCUAUGUCGAUUACUUUGAGAAUACCACACUCUUUGAACCGAAGAAAUUCCAUCGUUGUUUUCGUAUGGCAAGACAUAUGUACAGUCGUAUCCGAGAGAGAGUGAUUCGUCAUGACCCAUUCUUCGAGUGCAAAACGGAUGCCCUUGGCAAGCUUGGAUUCUUCUCUUAUUAGAAAUGCACCGCGGCCAUCCGCAUGCUUGCAUAAGGUAUUCCACGCGAUUUUGUGGAUGAGUACGUGCGCAUGAGUGAGUUCACAUGUCUGAUGUCAAUGUACAACUUCUGCAAUGCCGUGGUGGCAGUGUUUGGCCCUCAAUACUUGAGGCAGCCAAAUGCUGCUGAUACAAAAAGGCUGUUGGUAAUCAACGCCGAUAGAAGCUUUCCAGGCAUGCAUGGCAGCAAAGAUUGUAUGCACUAGGAGUGGAAGAACAGUCUAUUUGCUUGACAGGGCCAGUACAAGGGGCAUGUGAAAGCGUGCACUCUCAUAUUAGAAGUUGUGGCUUGACAAGAUCUUUGGAUAUGACAUUCUUUCUUCAGCAUGGCAGGUUCUCACAAUGAUAUCAACGUGCUGCAGCGUUCUCCAGUCUUCGCAAGGUUUGCACAAGGCCAUUCUCUACCUAGCAACUUUGAGGUCAAUAGCCACCACUACAACAAGGGAUACUACCUAGAUGCUGGUAUAUAUCCUAAGUGGUCAACUUUUGUGGAGACAAUCUCGAAACCCCAAUGUGAUAAGAGACAGAGAUUUUCCCAAAUGCAAGAGAGUGCUAGAAAGGAUGUGGAGCGUGCUUUUGGUGUGCUUCAAUCCCGAUGGGGUAUCGUUCGAAACCCUUCACUGAACAUGGAUGAAGGGAAGCAUUGGAGGUGAUGACUACUUGUGUGAUCAUGCACAACAUGAUCAUCAAGGACGAGCGUGAUAACAACAUCUUCGACCAAGGAUUUGAUUUUUGAGGUGAAAAUGUUGAGCCCCUGCAGCAAGAACCGGCCACAUUUGAACAGUUUACCCAAUUCCAUCGUGAAAUGCGUGAUUGCACACUCAUUUGGAGCUUUAAAAUGACUUCGUUCAGCACAUGUGGAAUCACAUUGGCAACCAAUAGAUGUAUUGGUUUAUUAUGUUUAUUCAAGACAAUUUCAAUUUGGUUGUAAAACCAUUUUAUUCGAGACAAUUUUGAUUGGGUUGUAAAACUAUUUUUAUUUGAAACAAUUAAAAUUUGGACGUGCAAACAUUGAUGAAUAUGAAUAUAUGGGCAUAUUGGUCGUGGCGGACAGGAUGCGACCAAAGGAUGCGUCCGCAUGUUGGGUGCACGGCCACCGCAUCCGAGGAAAGGCUGAGAGACGACCCCAUUGCCCUACCCAAAUGUCCGGGAAAAACGGAUGUCCGUUUGGGGUCGUGCGCUGAAGUUGGCCUUAGGAACAAGAGGUAGGCAGGAAUGAUCAAGCGUACAACACACAUAAGGGCAUCUCCAGCCGCGCCCCAAGAGGCCACUCAUGCCCCUUUUUAGACGCCGUCGUUACAAAAUCCCCCCCAGUCGGGCCCCCAGGACGUCGUUUUCCGCCAGAUGGUCCAUUUUUCGGGCCGGUGAACCCAGGCCGAACCCAGCACGCUGGGGGCACCUAGGUGCUUUGACAGAAGGAAAAGUUGUGUGUAGGACACUACUGUGAGGCGAGAAAUGCCUUUUCGCCGCUAGAUUCGCCCUCGUGCGCCACGGAACACCUCACCGCCAUGUCGAUCCCGACGCCGCCAACGUGCCCUCAGGUGCUGCCGCGCCGAUUGAAAAUGCCAUUUCCCUGCCAUUUUCGCGGUAGCCUCCAUCCUGCUCUCCCUGGGCGAGCUUUUCAAACCGCUCAGGCAGGGAUACCGGCGACUGCCCACCAACUACGCCAUUCAGGUGUUUGGUGAUUAGCCUGCUCGGUAAU